AAGACAAAAAACAAUAUUCUCUUGAGAACAACUAUAGGGGAUGUGGUUACUUAUUCAUAAUUCGUGCUUAUUAGCACGAGAUAUUACAAGAGACAUAGAUUUUCACACAAAUGACAUACUUGUACAUUCCCUUACUUGGGAGGGAUUCAAGACAUGGCAUAUCAUGGCANNNNNNNNNNUAUCUAUAGGGGAUGUGGUUACUUAUUCAUAAUUCGUGCUUAUUAGCACGANNNNNNNNNNNNNNNNNNNNNNNNNNNNNNNNNNNNNNNNNNNNNNNNNNNNNNNNNNNNNNNNNNNNNNNNNNNNNNNNNNNNNNNNNNNNNNNNNNNNGAUAUGUCGAACUAAAAAGUACCAUACUUCUGUUAUUCCAGUUUGCGUACCCAUUCGGUUUUGUUGAUUUCCAUACACAUAUGAUGGAAAUAUCCCCAUUCGUCGAUGCCAUGUAUUCUGUACAUUCUUUUGAAAAAAUGACUUUUUUUCCUUUGCCCUAAUUUGUAGGGGGCGGGGCAUCAAAUAUUUGGAUGUCGAUGUCCGGAAUAAUUUUGAUGUGUGGAAGGACUCGAAGAAUACCAUAACUGUUAUUACGGACGAUCAUGUUAGUUACCCGUGUGCAAUAGUCUAAUAGGCUAAUUAAUCCCAAUAUGGCGAUUCACUAGAAGGAUCGCACAUUUUGCAAACGAUAAUCCCAUUAGUAUUCAAUGCGACCGCAAUGAGUUGCAUCCAGAGAAGGUGAAAUGUAAGUAGUGAUUGAUUACCAGUAUAAGAGGUCGGCGUUGUACUACAAAACAUUAGUUGACUAGUAGGACAUUAAGGGUAGACAUGCAAGGGUUGACACUCAUGACCUUAAAAAAUACAUCUCUCGUUAUCAUCAAUAGAAAAAGGUGAAAAUAUAUGAUUCAUGAGUCCCAACAGUAAACACUCAUGACUGAAUGCCUGAUUCCUUAACUUCAUGAUACACAACCAUCAGUUAGUUUCUCUUUAACAUACGUGCGAGAAAACAAAUUACAUGCAUAUGCAAUGUCAAAAUAAAAAGUACGCACGAAAAGAUUUUCAUGAUUCUUUAGUGGUACACUCAGGACGAGUUUAUUUGUAAAAGUUUGGAAAAGACAAACAUCCAAUAUAUCCAUUAAGUCUGUCUUUUAGGACUUGAAUAGCCGAGAGAAAUCAAAUUCCUUUCUUGGAAGAAUCCUGUGCCCAAUUAUUAUACUUUAUAUCAUAUAUAGAAGUAUUUGUUUNNNNNNNNNNNNNNNNNNNNNNNNNNNNNNNNNNNNNNNNNNNNNNNNNNNNNNNNNNNNNNNNNNNNNNNNNNNNNNNNNNNNNNNNNNNNNNNNNNNNUAUGUCAUGUAGUCCAUUCAUUCUUUUUUACAUGAAAUAUAUCAAUAUACAACAUCUAAUUGCUUUGUAAUUCAUUAAAUGGUUCUUGACCUUUAGGAGGCUCUUCCAAAAGAAAAUAAAAUUGAUCCAUUCAUUAUUAUUUCACACACAUUGAAGUAACAAAUUAACAUUCAUAACCAACCACAAAAUAAACUAGUACACCGGGAAAAUUCAGUUUCUUUAGCGGUACAAACGGAAUACAUUUGUAAGCAGUACUUUUCGUCGACGCACGACCAACAUGUCGGAUGGUCUUCCUUUUUUGUCUUGUAUGCGAAAGCAAGGGCACAUCAAUAAGUAGCCGCCGUUUAGGAAACCAAGGACUGCAGCCGUUUUCUCGCAGAGCCGAGUCGGGCUAGUAAGAAGUAGCUAUUUUAUGCAGCUUUGUAUCUGGUCCGGGACCUCAUCAUAGCAAACCAUCUACGCAUUUUUUAAACCAAUGGUCAAUCAAACAACUUUCCUCAGCCUUCUUUUCUGGUUGAUUGAGCAAGCCCUGAGACCGAGAGGGAUGCACUGCCCCACGCAUCUAUCCAGCUCGCGUGGUUCACCGGUUCCAUCGACGUCACUCUUAGAUAGAGUUAUUCAGUUGAUACAGAGAUGCGCUAUAUUAUUGCCGACAGGUGGUACAUACGUAUGGUUAUAAAGCUACGAGAAGUAUUAAAACCCCAUNNNNNNNNNNNNNNNNNNNNNNNNNNNNNNNNNNNNNNNNNNNNNNNNNNNNNNNNNNNNNNNNNNNNNNNNNNNNNNNNNNNNNNNNNNNNNNNNNNNNGAGAAUAUGUUUUUUCAUGUAAUCGUUUUGACUGUGGUUAGAUUUGAAAAAAAAAUUCUUUCAAAUAUGCCACACCGAGACAAAAUGAUUUGCACUUUUGUGAGAUCCGCAUUAAGAUUGAGAACACUUUCAUUCAAGUUGUAGUGUUGACUAUUGGGAAUAAUCAAUCGGUUAGAUUUUUGUGUGAUAAUAUAUGUCCUUUAUAAGAAGCAUUCUAUGAGGAAAAAUAGACUGCGGAUAGGAGGCUUCCGGGUGUAAAAUGGGGUUUUUAUACUUCUCGUAGCUUUAUAACCAUACGUAUGUACCAUCUGUCGGCAAUAAUAUAUUAUUGAUGUGCCCUUGCUUUCGCAUACAAGACAAAAAAGGAAGACCAUCCGACAUGUUGGUCGUGCGUCGACGAAAAGUACUGCUUACAAAUGUAUUCCGUUUGUACCGCUAAAGAAACUGAAUUUUCUCGGUGUACUAGUUUAUUUUGUGGUUGGUUAUGAAUGUAAAUUUGUUAAUUCAAUGUGUGUGAAAGAAUAAUGAAUGGAUCAAUUUUAUUUUCAUUUGGAAGAGCCUCCUAAAUGUCAAGAACCAUUAAAUGAAUUACAANNNNNNNNNNNNNNNNNNNNNNNNNNNNNNNNNNNNNNNNNNNNNNNNNNNNNNNNNNNNNNNNNNNNNNNNNNNNNNNNNNNNNNNNNNNNNNNNNNNNAAAGACGAGAUAUAGCAUGCCAAAUUCUUUAAGAGUGGGUUAGUUAGCGAUCACACCGGUUGACAAUUGGAGUUGUUACACGUGGACAUCUGGUGAGCUCACAUUGUUUACAUGACAAAAAUUUUCUAUCUAUAUCGUGCAUCUAUAAAAAAAGGUUGAGAUAAAUUUUGUAGGACAUAAAUUCAAUAAUGAUGUGUGCACGCAUGGACAUUCUAUGAGCCCCGAUGCAUGACAACAAGAUAUGAUUACCUCUCAUUAGCAAUAAGAUAUGUCGAACUAAAAAGUACCAUACUUCUGUUAUUCCAGUUUGCAUGCCCAUUCGGUUUUGUGGAUUUCCAUAGACAUAUGAUCGAAAUAUCCCCAUUCGUCUAUGCCAUGUAUUCUGUACAUUCUUUUGAAAAAAAUAUUUUUUUUCCUUUUGCCCUAUUUUGUAGGGGGCGGGGCAUCAAAUAUUUAGAUUUCGAUGUCCGGAAUAAUUUUAUGUGUGGAAGGACUCGAAGAAUACCAUCGCUGUUAUUACACACGGUCAUGUUAGUUACCCGCGUGCAAUAGUCUAAUAGGAUAAUUAAUCCAAAAAUGGCGAUUCACUAAAAGGAUCACAUAUUUUGCAAACGAUAAUCCCAUUAGUAGUCAAUGCGACCGCAGUGAGUUGCAUCCAGAGAAGGUGAAAUGUAAGUAGUGAUUGAUUACCAUUAUAAGAGGCCGGCAUUGUACUAUAAAACAUUAGUUGACUAGUAGGACAUUAAGGGUGAACAUGCAAGGGUUGACNNNNNNNNNNNNNNNNNNNNNNNNNNNNNNNNNNNNNNNNNNNNNNNNNNNNNNNNNNNNNNNNNNNNNNNNNNNNNNNNNNNNNNNNNNNNNNNNNNNNUAGUUGAAAAUAGCAUAAUCAGAAUCUUUGAAUUUUUCUGAUACUUUUCCAUAUAUAAAUUAUUUUCAUUGGAGUUAUAGAUUAAUUUCGAUUUUUACAAUUUUUAGCAAUUUCCUGAAUUAGUUUUAUACUGGAAANNNNNNNNNNGAUUAAUUCUAUGAUUUUUACAAUUUUUAGCAAUUUCCUGAAUUAGUUUUAUACUGGAAAUUCUAAUUAUUGCAUCAGGCUGACGUCAGCAGGUCAGCCGACCUGUUCAGGUCAAACCUGACAGGGGGGCCCCGCUGGUCAGCCUCUCUGGGACUAAUCCCGCGCUGACCAGCCCUAACUGAGGUUUGACUUGGCCUUGGGCCCACUUGUCAGCGAGUGAUUAGGUCACUAAGCUACUGGGUUAGCUUGCCACGUCGACCCCCACCGUAGGGUGGUCGCCGGCGACCAGGCCCGCCGCGGAGGGCUCCCCAGAGGCGACCUAGACGGCGCUGCACAGCACCAAAACGCACGCGGUUUGCNNNNNNNNNNGGCUGGGUUAGCUUGCCACGUCGACCCCCACCGGAGGGUGGUCGCCCGCGACCAGGCCCGCGGCGGAGGGCUCGCCGGAGGCGACCUAGACGGCGCUGCACAGCACCAAAACGCACGCGGUUUGCAGCUACAGCAUGCUCGCAAGUGUCCGAUCUGGCAGGACCAUCUGGCGAGGCUAGGGUCGCCGGAAGAGGCGUCGGCGACGAGCCGGAGCGGCGGCCGAAGCUCGGCCUUCUAUGAGGGGCGGUUCUANNNNNNNNNNACUACAGCAUGCUCGCGAAGUGGCCGAUCUGGCAGGAUCAUCUGGGAGGCUAGGGUCGCCGGAAGAGGCGUCGGCGAUGAGCCGGAGCGGCGGCCGAAGCUCGGCCUUCUAUGAGGGGCGGUUCUAGGGCACGGGGAGGGCAGGUGGAGGGCUCGACACGCUCCUGGAGGCUCCAGGAGCUCGAAUCCUAGCUCGGGCGCGUGGAUCGGUCAUCACAGCGACGACAGCGACAUGGCCGGCGGCGAGAAGCUCUCGGCCUUGGUGGGGAACUAGGAUACGAUGCAUGGGAGAGCGUGGGGCAAGAGGGAAAACGACGACGAGCUCACGGCGGUUGGCGCUGAAGAGGUGCUCGGGGAUGCGCCGGAGGAAGCGAAUCGACGGGAGAGGUCCUGUGGCCGGAGGUGGAAGACGACGGCCUUGCGGGCGUUGCAGGGCUCGAGGAAGUUUCGGCUUCUGCAGAGAUGACCAGGGCGACGAGGCGGAGUUAAUGGCGUGCUCUGGGAGGGAAUCCUAUGGCCAGGGGCACGGCCAGCUCGAGCUCGAGCUCGGCUCUAAUGGCGGCAGCAAGGAGGAGGAGGAGAUCCGGGAGGAGGAAGAGAACCGAGGCGGGGAAUGGAUAGGGGAGGCUCUGGGGAGCUUAUCCCCGUCGUCGCCAGCGCGAGGCGGCGGCCACGCAGGCACGCAGGUGCGUGGCCGCGCCGGAGGGGGCGGCGGCCACCUCCUGCUGCCUACUGGCGCGAGGGAGGGGACGAGCCAGGGAUGGGCCGGGCCAGGCUUAGGCGACACGUAAGGUUUUUCCAUUUUUUUCUGUUUUUGUUUUUCUGUUUUGCUAAUUANNNNNNNNNNGGCAGGCACGCAGGUGCGUGGCCGUGCCGGAGGGGGUGGCGGUCACCUCCUGCUGCCUACUGGCGCAAGGGAGGGGACGAGCCAGGGAUGGGCCGGGCCAGGCUUAGGCGACAGGUAAGGUUUUUCCAUUUUUUCUGUUUUUGUUUUUCUGUUUUGCUAAUUAAUUCAGCUCCAAAACAAAAAUUAAAAACUAUUUUAGACCUCCUGAAAUAUUUCUUAUAAUAUCCCCAACCAUUUUCAAGCUUUUCGACAUUUUUGGAAAUUUAUAGUUUCUGAUUUCAAAUUUAAAACUUGAAACCAGNNNNNNNNNNUCAUUCAGCUCCAAAACAAAAAGUAAAAACUAUUUUAGACCUCCUGAAAUAUUUUUUAUAAUAUCCCCAACCAUUUUCAAGCUUUUCAACAUUUUGGAAAUUUAUAGUUUCUGAUUUCAAAUUUAAAACUUGAAACCAGUAGCCUUUUUCAUUUAUUCAAAAAGCUUAAGGUGUCAAGAAAAUAGUUUUCUCCAAUGCUCAUUUACUUUCAUGAUUUAUCAGAAAGUUUGAACAUUUCUUGAGGCCAUUUUGGGUUCAUUGAUUUUGAACUAAUUUGAGAUUUCCUUUAAUUGAAAUGGUGGCUAGGGUUUUGAGUUUUUCCUUUGCCACUUCGUUGCUUUUGUUGAAACUUCUUAGAUGCAAAUGCAAAGAAGACAUGAGCACAAUGCUAUCUUGCUUAAGGGUUAGGGAUGUGACACAAAAUUAAUCUCAACCCUUUUUUAUAGAUGCUUGAUAUAGAUUGAAGCAUUUUGUGAUGUCAACAAUGUGAGCUCACUAGNNNNNNNNNNACUCACCCCCACUCAAAAGAAUCUCGUCCCGAGAUUUAGAAGUCGUCGGGAAUAACGCCGGAUGUUCAAGUCGGAGACGAUCCUCUCUUUCCCAAGUUGCCUCCUUUUCAGAAUGAUUUGACCAUUGAACUUUAAGAAACUUGAGGUUUCGACGUCGAGUGGUACGCUCAGCUUGAUCAAGAAUACGCACGGGGUAUUCUCGGUAUGAAAGGUUAUCUUGUAGAUCAAGCGUUUCGUGGUCCACUUCAUGGAUAGGAUCCGAAAAGCAACGCCUGAGUUGCGAGACGUGGAAGACAUCAUGAACCUUGGAAAGAUGUGGAGGAAGUUCCAACUGGUAGGCAACUUCUCCUCGUUUGGCAAGAAUGCGAAAAGGACCAAUGUAACGAGGAGCCAAUUUUCCCUUGAUACCGUAACGAUGGGUACCCUUCAAAGGUGUAACCCAAAGGUAAGCCUUCUCGUCAACUUCAAAGGUCACAGCCUUAUGAUGACGAUCAUAUUGGCUCUUUUGACGAGACUGGGCUGUUUUCAACUUUUCACGAAUAAUGCGAACCUGCUCUUCUGCAUCCUGGAUCAUAUCCGGGCCAAAGAGUUGCCUCUCUCCGGUUUCUGACCAAUUAAGAGGGGUUCGACAUCUUCGUCCAUAGAGAACUUCAAAAGGGGCUUUGCCCAAGCUUGAUUGAUAACUAUUGUUAUAAGCGAAUUCGGCGAAUGGAAGGCACUUCUCCCAAUUCAUACCGAACGAAAUAACACAAGCUCGGAGCAUAUCUUCUAUGAUUUGAUUCACUCUUUCUACUUGACCACUUGAUUGAGGAUGGAAAGCAGUGCUAAAAGAUAAGUGAGUCCCCAUGGCAUUCUGAAAACUUUCCCAGAAGCGAGAAGUAAAGAUACUUCCAUGGUCCGAGUUAAUUUCCAGGGGAACACCAUGAAGAGACACUAUUCGAGAGGUAUAUAACUCUGCUAGCUGGCUAGCUGUUAUACCCUCACGAACAGGAAGAAAAUGAGCCACUUUGGAAAGACGGUCAAUGACCACAAAGAUAGCAUUAUUACCUUUCUUGGUCUUGGGAAAUCCGGUAAUGAAAUCCAUGCUAACUUUAUCCCAUUUCCAUUCAGGAAUAGCUAGAGGUUGAAGGGUGCCAGCAGGCCUUUGAUGUUCUGCCUUAACUCGACGACAAACGUCGCAGUUAGCAACGAACUCAGCAAUUUCUCUCUUCAUCCUAGUCCACCAGAACCUCUGGCGUAGGUCCUGAUACAUCUUAGUACUACCGGGAUGAAUGGUGAGAGGAGAAUCAUGAGCCUCCUUAAGGAUUAACUGCCUUAGAUGUGGGUUCUUAGGAACCACUAAACGAUUCUGGAAGAACACAACACCUUGAUCAUUCAUGGAAAAUUCUUUAGCGUUUUCGCUAAAAAUAUUCUCCUUGAUCCGUGAUAUACCCUUGUCACGCUUUUGGCCAGCUAUAAUUUGAUCCUUAAGAGUAGGCUUCGCCACCAGGGUAGAAAGGAAUCCUUGAGGAACAAUAUGAAGAUUCAACUUCCGAAAGUCCUCAUGGAGAUGUGGUUGACCUUGUUGUAACAUCAAAUUGUUACAAUAAGAUUUAUGGCUUAGUGCAUCGGCCAUAACAUUGGCCUUCCCCCGGGGUGUAAGUUAUCCCUAAGUCGUAAUCCGAGAUCAACUCAACCCACCGUCUUUGCCUGAGAUUCAAAUCCGGCUGGGUGAAGAUAUACUUCAGACUUUGGUGAUCAGUGAAUAUUUCGCAACGAUUACCCAGAAGGUAAUAUCGCCAGGUUUUUAGUGCAUGGACCACAGCUGCAAGCUCAAGGUCAUGGGUGGGAUAAUUAUCCUCAUGUGGACGCAACUGUCGAGAUGCGUAUGCGAUCACAUGACGAUCUUGCAUGAGAAUGCAACCUAAUCCUUGUCGCGAGGCAUCGCAAUAGAUAACAAAGUCCUUAGAAAUAUCUGGUGGUAGCAACACAGGUGCGGAAGUCAGACGUCUUUUCAGUUCCUGAAAACUAUGCUCACACUGUGGUGUCCACUCGAACUUUUUAUCCUUCUUGAGGAGUUCAGUUAGAGUUGCAACCUUGGAGAAAUUCUCGACGAAGCGGCGACAAUAGCUCGCUAGACCAAGAAAACUCCUAACUUGCUUAACCGAUUCAGGUUGAGUCCAAUCAAGGACAGCUUGAACUCUCUCGGGAUUGACAGCAAUACCCUUGCCAGAGAUUACGUGGCCCAGAUAGGUCACUUCUGGUAACCAGAAUUCACAUUUUGAAAACUUGGCAUAAAGGCGAUGCUCUCGAAGUUUCAUCAAUACCAGCCUUAGAUGCUCGGCAUGUUCUUGUUCAUUCUUCGUGUAGAUGAGAAUAUCAUCGAGGUAUACCACAACGAAUUUAUCCAAAUACUCCAUGAAGAUUGAGUUCAUCAGCCGAGAGAAAGUGGCUGGGGCAUUGGUUAAACCGAAGGACAUAACGGUGUACUCAUAUUGUACAUAACGAGUAACAAAGGCCGUUUUUGGAAUGUCCCUGUUCUUAAUCUUGAUUUGAUGGUAUCCCAACCUCAAAUCCAUUUUGGAGAAGACUGAAGAUCCAGCGAGCUGAUCGUACAGAUCGUUGAUCCUAGGGAGCGGACACUUGUUCUUAAUGGUGACCAAAUUAACUGGUCGGUAAUCUACAACCAUCCGAUCCGUUCCGUCUUUCUUGUUGACGAAGAGGACGGGACAAGCCCAAGGAGAAGAGCUAGGACGAAUGAAACCUUUGUUCAAGGCCUCAUCUAAUUGCUUCUUAAGUUCGGCUAGCUCUAGGGGUGCCAUCUUAUAAGGUCUCCUGGCUAUUGGGACAGUUCCCGGAACAAGAUCUAUCACAAACUCUACAUCUCUGUCAGGUGGAAUUCCUGGCAGUUCCUCUGGAAAAACAUCCGGGAAGUCACGGACUACCGGAAUGUCUUCAAGUUCCGGAAGAGGGUUGGCAUUUAGGGAAUAGAGCUGGCAUUUCGCAACUCGAGUAGAGACAUUUACUAUCUCACCCGAGGGAUGGGUAAGCUGGACAUUUCUAGAAUGAGUAUCAAUCUUGGCAUAGUGAGCUGACAUCCAGUCCAUGCCCAAGAUGAUAUUAAUAUCCGAAGAUUUCAAUGCUAUCAAUGAGGCUAGAAAAACUAGCCUGUCUACUAGAAUUUCAUUGUCAUAGGUUAUCCUAGAGGUUUGCCAUUCACUACCAGGGGUUUGGACAACCAAUGGGAUUGGCAUAUCACAAAAAUACAUGUUAUGCAACUGUGCAUAACUUUCUGAAAUGAAGGAAUGAGAAGACCCAGUGUCAAAGAGAACGGACGCUGGGUGUUGAUUAACAAGAAGCGUACCCAGCAUGACGUCGGGAUCCUCUGCAGCUUCUUCUGCUGACACAUAGUUCACACGGCCACGUGCAGGAGUUGGCUUCACAUAAUAAGCUUUGCACGACUUGGCCUGCCCGACGGACUUUCCGGGUUGCUUGGCACCCACAUUUUGAGGACACUCACGGGAAUAAUGCCCUGGUUCUCCACACUUGUAGCAUAUCACCUGGUUGGCACGUGGUGCAGCAUUGCUAGCUGGACAACCAUAAGCUUUUGCUGGAGGGUUGGCCUGAUUCGUCUGAGGCGCCACGUAGGAUGGCCUCGGAGUGUAUCUUGGCGGCAGAGAACUGUUUGGAACCCACAGCCUGCGUUUUGGAAACGCGGAACCAGAAGAUGAGCCAAAGUCACGGGAGUGCUUCCUUGUGGCUUCGAAGUCAGUAUGACCAGUCUCCGCACUGAUCGCUUUGUUGACCAGGGCUUGAAAACUUGCACACUCAUGGAGGCGCAGAUCACGACGGAGCUCAGGGCUCAGUCCCUUACGGAAUCUUGCUUGCUUCUUGGCGUCGGUAGACACCUCCUCUGUUGCAUAGCGGGCGAGGUUACCGAAAUCGCGGCUAUAGGCAUCCACAGACAACUUGCCUUGAGUGAAGGCACAGAACUCCUCUCUCUUUCUGUCCAUCAGGCCCUCUGGAAUAUGGUACGGACGAAAAGCUACACUGAAGUCUGCCCAUGUGGCCACUGGUUCAGCGAGACGCAUAGCUUCAAAAUUCUCCCACCACAGAUUGGCGGGUCCUUCCAGGAAAUACGCCGCGAAGGUCACCUUGUCGGCCUCAGACACAUUCGCAGAGCGAAUCUUGCGUGAGAUGCUGCACAGCCAGUCAUCAGCGUCGAGGGGAUCGACGGAAUGAUGAAACUUUGGAGGAUUCAGCUUCACAAAGUCAUUGAGGGACACUGCAGCAUUCCUAGGCUGUCGAGCCGUAUUCUGCUCAAUACGCUCUAGCAGUCGGUUGGUCUCCCUUUUGUUUCUUUCUGCCUCAAGCAUCACUUCUACCAGAGAAGGUGGGUGAGGCAGGUCUUCCUGCGACGCUUGACUACCCUCACCUUGCUCAUGAGCAGGGGCACGGUUCAACCUGGUGAACACCAUCCUAACAAACAAACUCAUAGCUUAGACCAACAUCAUAUCAAUACUAGCUAUGGAUUAAGAAUGUACUGAACAGACGGAAUGCGGAAAUUAAUAUCCGAACAGCAUGGUAACAAGCAACUGCUAUAUAUACACCAUGGUUCAUACACACCCUUACAUAGUUCAGUACAACCUUAAACGAAGAGCAAACUACUGAAAUUAUGAAACUACUCAUUAGAGGCUUACAGGCUUCCUAUACAUUAUUUAUCUAGGCCUCCGGAAUUCAUUUCACAUUACUACCAUACUUCACAAGUCACGCAGGACUGUGAACGUACGACUACUACCAUACUAUCCUUCCGCUCACAGCUCAGGCAUCCGCAUAGAACAUCUCAUAGAGAUUACCUCCAUGACCUGGAAGCUCAACCUGCGGAUCAGGAAACACUCUAGCCUGAGAUCCCUGGGAUCCAUAAGGACACGGAUGUGGCCUUGGUCCCCUGACUGGUGGUAAGAGGGGUCCCCGAAGAGGUGUGACUCCUCCUAUAGCUGGCCAGUCAACGUGGGCCGGAAGAUGGGUUCUAACAGGGUUCAGCAUCUCCAUCUCUCCAUACCCUCUCUGCACUACCGGUGCCAGCUGCGUCAAAGCUGUCCACAGACGGGCACGGGUAGCAUAAAGCUCCAUGCGGAGAGCACGAGCAUCCCUGUCUCUGUUCUCUAGCAUCUCAACAGUGGACUGCAGAAGUGGAUCCUCCAUAGAAGAAUCAAAAUAGACUCCACUGAGGUAUCCCUCUUCACCAGACUGAGAGGCCGGAACAUAGCAGAACUCUGAAUUCUGCAGCAGUGCAUGUCUUGCUCUCAUAAUAGUCAGCAUUGAAUACGCAGCAUCCUGAACUGCCAUGUCAACGGUGACCCCCAACCCAUAGGACCAAUGGAUUGGCUUCUCAGUUCCAGGGUAGUCUGGAAAUACCCUAACAGUGUAGAUGUACUGGCUCUGGUUGAAGUCUCGGUACUGUUCCUCUACCGUGUACUUGGGGUACCAGCGGUAACCGCACACCGACAUCACCCUGACCAGCAUGGCCGUAUGACCCGGCACAUCAAUGCACCUGGUCAGACGUACCACCUGACGAGAAGGACGGCCAGGCAUCUGUAAAUAGAGAGUAAUGCAAAAGCAUUAGAGCUCUGAAUGCAAAAUUGGGCAGCAUAACGGUUGUAAAUGCUCAAAACAAAUUUGAGACAACCCAAAAAUGGAAUAGCGUAACCACUCAACUAUCAAGUUCCACUUUUUGAUCAUCAAACUUACUUCAUGCUUCCUAGGAAUAAAAUAAACCCAAUAUCUCUCGACCCGUAGUCCUAUAAUCUACCGAUGAGAAACACGAGCCUAGGAGAAGAUGAGUAACCUAGUCCUUAAUUCCCGCAGAAAAGACAAGGAUGACCAGAAUAGAAUGACUUGAGAAGAGAACAAGAGUCUGACGUUCCCUUCCACAAACAAUUCCCUUAUAUAUAACUAAAGAAAUUCUAAACUCAACUUCGACCAGUUUGGCUUAGUAAUCCUACAGUCAGUCAGGCUCUGAUACCAACGCUGUCGGGACCCCGAUCCUAAGCCAUAGGAAUCCAGCCUGUAACACAUCGCAUCCCUUUGUGGUCUCAGGCACGGUUAACUCCACGGCUGCAGCCUUACCUUAGCCGGGACCGUUUGNNNNNNNNNNGUCGGGACCCCGAUCCUAAGCCAUAGGAUUCCAGCCUGUAACACAUCGCAUCCCUUUGUGGUCUCACGCACGGUUAACUCCACGGCUGCAGCCUUACCUUAGCCGGGACCGUUUGCGUCUUUUGACUCACGUAUGCGAUAGUGUCGCUAGCAAUCCAAUGUCAAAGAACCCGGAUCGACAUGUCUAGUCAUAAACCAAAGUGGCAGUACCACACAAGGACAGGCAUACAUGACCCAACAAAGCAGGUGUCGGUCAUCAGCGAAUGUAGACGAGUCGUAGCAAGCUACAAGGACUCCAUUACAUCGCGUGACAUUUCCCCAAAGGGGACAGACACAGCAGNNNNNNNNNNACAUCCCUUUGCGGUCUCACGCACGGUUAACUCCACGGCUGCAUCCUUACCUUAGCCGGGACCGUUUGCGUCUUUUGACUCGCGUAUGCAAUAGUUUCGCUAGCAUUCCAAUGUCAAAGAACCCGGAUCGACAUGUGUAGUCAUAAACCAAAGUGGCAGUACCGCACAAGGACAGGCAUACAUGACCCAACAAAGCAGGUGUCGGUCACCAUCGAGUGUAGACGAGUCGUAGCAAGCUACAAGGACUCCAUUACAUCGUGUGACAUUUCCCCAAAGAGGACAGACACAGCAGCUAAGAAGGACACAUGCCGGUCAACCAAUGUGUCCGGAGCAGUAGCGAACUACCAAGGCUUGUUGGAUCACAAAGGGGCAUUUCCUUGUAAGGAAUGCUACUAAAGCUCACGACUAGGUAAUUGAACCCCAUACAUAUCAAGUACGACACACGUACGCGUGGCAUACCGAUAUGUAUAGAUACAUCGAUGGCAUCACAACAUAACCAUAAACAUACANNNNNNNNNNCUGAGAAGGACACAUGCCGGGAAACCAAUGCGUCCGGAGCAGUAGCGAACUAGCAAGGCUCGUUGGAUCACAAAGGGGCAUUUCCUUGUAAGGAGUGCUACNNNNNNNNNNAUGAGAAGGACACAUGCCGGUCAACCAAUGCGUCCGGAGCAGUAGCGAACUACCAAGGCUCGUUGGAUCACAAAGGGGCAUUUCCUUGUAAGGAGUGCUACUAAAGAUCACGACUAGGUAAUCGAACCCCAUACAUAUCAAGCAUGACACACGUACGCAUGGCAUAUCAAUAUGUAUAGAUACAUCGAUGGCAUCACAACAUAACCAUAAACAUACAAGCUUUAUUUAAGAGGCUCGGAAGAGCCACACACAUAAUAUUACACAUUAAGGUCUCUCGACCCAUAAUAGCAGUCAUACAAUACAAGCCAGCGGAAGAGUUAUAAACUGUCUCGGAACAGGCAGUGCAACUAGAAGGCACAUGGCCUGACUAUACUACAGAGCCGACGUAGGGCCAGAUCGUAGCUCGGACACCAGCUACUCGUCGUCGUCGAUGUCUACGAAGAACCCUCCAUUNNNNNNNNNNGUCUCACGACCCAUAAUAGCAGUAAUUCAGUUACAAGCCAGCGGAAGAGUUUAAACUGUCUGAGUACAGACAGGGCAACUAGAAGGCACAUGGCCUGACUAUACUACAGACCCAACGUAGGGCCAGAUCGUAGCUGGGACACCAGCUACUCGUCGUCGUCGAUGUCUACGAAGAACCCUCCAUUNNNNNNNNNNCGCGAAAGAGUUAUAAACUGUCUGGGAACAGGCAGUGCAACUAGAAGGCACAUGCACUGACUAUACUACACAGCCGGAGUAGGGCCAGAUCGUAGCUGGAAAACCAGCUACUCGUCGUCGUCGAUGUCUACGAAGAACCCUCCAUUAGGGUCAUUAGCAACCUCUGCAACAUUUAUUAAGCAAACAUGAGUACGAAGGUACUCAGCAAGACUUUAGGAUAACUAACUACUCAUGCAAGGUAUCAAAAGGGGUAUUGCGGGGUUUCAUGCGUAAAGCCAGCAUUUGACUCGUGGCUAGACAACUUGCAUUUUUAAAUUAUNNNNNNNNNNACAUUUGACUCGUGGCUAGACAACUUGCAUUUUUAAAUAAUUUUGACAACUUGAUUUCUCGCACACGAGUCCGCUAACACCACAACANNNNNNNNNNGAACUAACUACUCAUGCAAGGUAUCAAAAGGUAUUGUGGGGUUUCAUGCGGAAAGCCAGCAUUUGACUCGUGGCUAGACAACUUGCAUUUUUAAAUUAUUUUGACAACUUGAUUUCUCGCACACGAGUCCACUAACACCACAACAAUACACUAUCGUGGAAUCAUUCCGUCUCCAUACGGAAAUGCCGUCCACGACACUCACGCUUAUCUUGGCAAUUUUAUGAGUAGCCAUUGAAGUUAUCUAUGAACAACAUAUGUCUCCAAGUAGUCCAUAUCCGCGGACGCGGCUAUUCGAAUAGAUCAUAACCCUGCUGGGGUGUACUUCGUCACACACGCUCUCGCCACUUAUCGCCAUGUGCACGUGAUGUACCUCGGCAACCUUCAAGCAGAAGCCCAGCGGGGGAGUCGGCCACGACCGUUAACCACACUAGUACCUAGUCCAGAUUUAUCGCCUAUCUGAGAGUAACCCGUACGGAAGUCCGGCCGAGGUUUNNNNNNNNNNCAUGCACCUCGGCAACCUUCAAGAGGAAGCCCAGCGAGGGAGUCGGCCACGACCGUUAACCACACUAGUACCUAGUCCAGGUUUAUCGCCUAUCUGAGAGUAACCCGUACGGAAGUCCGGCCGAGGUUUCCGCCACGGCCUCAAACGAUGCGCGCAGGGUUCCCAAGCCCACCAUCCGGGUGCCACUUGGUACACCAUGCCACUUCCUACCGCAUCACGGCCCACCUCUCAGGUCAGCACCAUGCACGGCCUCCAGCAUUACUAUAAACACUAGAAACUACUUGCAACUCCUGGACCGAGUACUAAGCGAUUAAUAAGUCGAGAGGGUCAAUUAAGUAUCCCAUCGUGUGGUAGUAUCUAGUGUUGCAUUACAUACAUGGAACUCAGUUCCUAAGGACGGUUCCAAUGAAACAACCCGCCAUGUACNNNNNNNNNNCCAUCCGGGUGCCACUUGGUACACCGUGCCACUGCCUACCGCAUCACGGCCCACCUCUCAGGUCAGCACCAUGCACGGCCUCCAGCAUUACUAUAAACACCAGAAACUACUUGCAAUUCCUGGACCGGGUACUACGCGAUUAAUAGGCCGAGCGGGGUCAUAUUUCAGGGCCCAGCAUGUGGUAGUAUCUAGUCUUGGAAUGCAUACACGGAACUCAGUUCCUAAGGACGGUUCCAAUGAAACAACCCGCCAUGUACUCCUACACAGUCUUUCACUGGUACCUUUACCAAAUCAAGUUCAACACACAACCUUUGCUCACCGAACACAUUCCACAUUUCUGUUCAUAUCCCAGAUGACGGACCAUACACAACUCUAAGCAUAGCAUGCAUAGCAGGAUAAGGCACAUCAUAGUUCAAGCAACUACCAGGUAUGCUUGGUUGCAAGGUUCGGCUAUUUACUGUGACAAGGUUAAGUCAUGCAAAGGAAAUGGGUUCAACUAUCGUGGCAAAAGCAGUUGAAGCAUUUGAUCUUAAAUGCAAUAAAUAGGUGCAGGAGCGAGAACAUGGGAUUUAUCGGGAUGAUCAAAAGGGUUGCUUGCCUUGUUGCUCAGAGGAGGAAUGAUAUCCGUCAGACGGAUAUUCGAUGGAAUCCGGGGGUGCGGAGCCUACCGAAAUGAAUGGCAACAUUCAAUAACAAUCAUAUGCACUCAAAAUGAUGCAUGAGCAUGGCAUGAGAAUGCAAGGUGAUAAGUUAUUAUUUUCAACAUGUAUUAGGUUUAGAGUAGAUUUGAAUCACAUUCAAAUAGCAAUUCAAACGGGGUAUUCUCGGAUACCGUUUUAAUUGAUUCGACCUGAUGCUCAGAUCAACUUGAUGUUAGCAUGCAUGAAAUUUCAUGUUAUGGUACUGAUUUGUAAGUAGGACAGUGUGUGAUCAUUGUAUUCAUAAUGAAAUUUGAAUAAUUUUUCAAAUUCCAUUUUAAAAGUAAUUAUAAGAAUUGAAUUAUUCCUUAUUCCACAAUUUAGGGUUCUGUAACUUUUUCAAACAUAGUUGAAAAUAGCAUAAUCAGAAUCUUUGAAUUUUUCUGAUACUUUUNNNNNNNNNNGGUCAUGCAAAGGAAGUGGGUUCAACUAACGUGGUAAAAGCAGUUGAAGCAUUUGAUCCUAAUGCAAUAAAUAAGUGCAGGAGCAAGAACAUGGGAAUUAUCGGGAUGAUCAAAAGGGUUGCUUGCCUUGUUGCUCAGAGGAGGGACAAUAUCCGUCAGACGGAUAUUCGGUGGACUCCGGGGGUGCGGAGCCUACCGAAAUGAAUGGCAACAAUCAAUAACAAUCAUAUGCAAACAAGAUGAUGCAUGAGCAUGGCAUGAGAAUGCAAGGUGAUAAACUAUUAUAAUCAACAUGUAUUAGGUUUGAAAUUGAUUUGAAUCACAUUCAAAUAUCAAUUCAAACGAGGUAUUCUCGGAUACCGAUUUAAUUGAUUCGACCUGAUGCUCAGAUCAACUUGAUGUUAACAUGCAUGAGAUGUCAAGUUAAGGUACUGAUUUGUAAUUAGGACAGUGUGUGAUCAUGUCAUUCAUAAUGAAAUUUGAAUAUUUUUCCAAAUUCCAUUUAUAAAGUAAUUAUAACAAUUGAAUUAUUCAUUAUUCUACAUGUUAGCGUUCUAUAACUUUUUCAAACAUGAUUGAAAAUAGCAUAUUCAGAUUCUUUGAAUUUUUCUGAUACUUUUUCAUAUAUAAAUUAUUUUCAUUGGAGUUACAUAUUAAUUUCUAUGAUUUUUUUAAGUUUUAAACAUUUCUGGAAUUAUUUCUAUACUGGAAAUUCUCUUUAUUGCGUCAGCCUGACAUCAGCAGGUCAGCCGACCUGUUCAGGUCAAACCUGACAGGGGGGACCCACUGGUUAGCCUCUCUGGGGUUAAACCCGCGCUGACCGGCCCCUUAACUAAGUUGACUUGGCCUUGGGCCCACUGUCAGUGAGAGUUUAAGCGUUUUAAUUACUGGAUUAGCUUGACCACGUCGGUCCUCGCCGGAGGCUGGCCCGCGGCGACCAAAACCGCGGCGGAACCUCGCCGGAGACAUGCUGAAUGCGCUGUGGUGCUCGGAACAGGUAGCUGAGAGCACUGGAGUGAUCUCCAGGCUCGACCACAUCCACUGCUAGCUUCAGGGAGGGCUAUAGGUGGCCGGAGUAAGCCGACGACGAGCCGGGGCGGCGGCCGGAGUACGGGUUUGAAGGUCCAGUUGCUAGGGGGCUCGGAUCCGAGGGGAAAGAGAGGGUAAAUGACCGCAUGCUCACGGGGAGUGCAGAGCAGGGCUUAGACGGCUCGGGGAAGGGCUGUUGCCGGCGUUUCACCGUCGAUUUGCCGGCGGCCGAAGGUGGAAGACGUCGGCGUUGGGGCGAUGCAGAGCUCGGGGAGACUUCGGCUUCUGCAGGGAGGACCAGCUCGACGAGGCAAAGCUGUUGGACUACUCGGAGGGAGGUUCCCGUGGCUAGAGGCGCUGCGGCUCGAGCUCGAGCUCGUGGUAAUGGCGGCAGCAGGAGGGAGGAAAGAUCCGAGAGGGGGGGAACUGGUACUGGGGAAAGGAUAGGGUCGGCCUCGGGGAGGAUAACCCCGUUGUCGCGCUGUCCCGGGGGGCUCUGGAGCUCGCCACGACGAAGCAGGAGGUGGAGGGGGCCGCCGUGGUCGAUCUCCCCUCUGCUAGAAGGCAGAGGAAGAAGACGACCCUGCCCCUGGUGGGCUGGGCCUCCUCAGGCGACAGGUAAGGGUUUUCUUUCUCUUCUAUUUUGUUUCUGUUUUGCUAACUAUUGUUUUGCUAUUUAUUUCAGCUCCAAAAUGGUUUGUAAAACUAUUUUAAACACACCUAAAUAUUUGUUGGAAUAUUUCCAACUAUUUUCAAAGUUUUCAACAUUUUUGAAAAUUUAAAGUUUCUGUUUUCAAAUUUAAUACUUGAAACCAGUAGCUUUUGCAUUUAUUUAAAAUGCUUAAAGUGUCAAGAAAAUAGUUUUCUCCAAUGCUCAUUUACUUUCAUGAUUUAUCAGAAAGUUUGAACAUUUCUUGAGGCCAUUUUGGGUUCAUUGAUUUUAACUAGUUUGAGAUUUCCUUUGUUUAAAGAAGUGGCUAGGGUUUGAGUUUUUCCUUCACCUCUUUCUUUAUUCUUGUUGACAAUUUCUCAGAUGCAAAUGCAAAGAAGACAUGAGCACAAGACUAACUUGCUUAAGGUGUCAGGGAUGUGACACCCUUACUUGGGAGGGAUUCAAGACAUGGCAUAUCAUGGCAUGGCAGGCAUAUAUAAUAAUUCUGCCAGCUAACAAAGGUGUCCCUGAUUUAUUUCAACAACACACAAUAAUAGUAGUAGCACGUAGGCCUCACGGGCUACUCCUUAUAGCGGAAGUAACUCGAUGGAUGAUGAUGGAUCAUGGAAGAACAUAGAUUCCAAUGGCAUCAAUUAGAUCCCCAACACGUCCAAAGAAACCGGUGAUAUGGCCACCAUGAGUCACUGGGCCAUGAAAGGAACCCCUUGAACCAGCAAUACCACAUUCUAUAGUCUGUCCAUUGUUUGUAACAAAUUUGAGAGACGUCACUAUUGACGACACACUACCCCAUCUACCAUAGGUUCCUGAAAUUUCAGUCACAUAUUCCAUGUCUUCAAGGUCCAACUGUGUAAAACAACAAUCAAACAUUUUUAUAAUUUACAGUUAGGACUUCAUAUGGUGAUAAGGGUUACUUACAUAUAUAAAUUGUAUAUAUUAGGUAUUUUAUAAGGUUAAGAUGAUUCACACACCGUGUGCUUGUUCCCACUAGGAGCUCCCCAUACACCCUCUACAUGCUGAUCCCCGGCAUGAUCCUCAUAUGUAAACUUGAUGGAGUGGAUUGCGUCUGCACCAGAAAUUUCCACCCGGGCUAGUCGGUGGGGAGCGUGUCUGACGUCACGAGGCUGGCCUCCGACUCCGCCCCAUAGACCAAUCUUCAGAGGCUCGCUCUGCAAACGUCAUCACACAGAUGUAAAAUCACACAAAGUAUGGAAUGUAUACAUACANNNNNNNNNNNNNNNNNNNNNNNNNNNNNNNNNNNNNNNNNNNNNNNNNNNNNNNNNNNNNNNNNNNNNNNNNNNNNNNNNNNNNNNNNNNNNNNNNNNNGUCUCCCGAACCCGUAGGGUCUACACACUUAAGGUUCGAUGACGCUAGGGUUAUAGGGAAUUGUUAUACGAGAUUACCGAAAGUUGUUCGGAGUCCCGGAUGAGAUCCCGGACGUCACGAGGAGCUCCGGAAUGGUCCGGAGGUAAAGAUUGAUAUAUAGGACGGAUGGUUUCGGACACCGGAAGUGUUUCGGGCAUCACCGGUAACGUACCGGGACCACCGGGACCACCGGAGGUGGUCCCGGGGGACCACCGAAGGGGGGCUGCGACCCCAAGAGGUAAGAUGGGCUAUGUGGGGGUGGGAACCAGCCCCUAGUUGGGCUGGUGCGCCUCCCCACUCAGCCCAUGGCGCAGGGGAAAGAAAAAGAGGGGGGGGGGGGCCCCUAACUUAGGUGGGCCUUAGNNNNNNNNNNUGGACCACCGAAGGGGGGCUGCGACCCCAAGAGGUAAGAUGGGCUAAGUGGGGGUGGGAACCAGCCCCUAGUUGGGCUGGUGCGCCUCUCCACUCAGCCCAUGGCGCAGGGGAAAGAAAAAGAGGGGGGAACCCUAACUUAGGUGGGCCUUAGGCCCACCAGAGGGGUGCGCCACCCCCUCCUCCCCAUCUGGCCGCCACACCCCCCAUCUGGGAGGGCUGCCGCACCCCCUAGGGUGGGAACCCUAGGGGUGGCACCCCCUCUCCCCUUCCCCUAUAUAUAGUGGGCACUUUUGGCCUUUGGAGGACACAGUUUUCCUUCUCCCUCGGCGCAACCCCGCACUUCUCCCUCCUCCUCUCUGCCGGCGCUUGGCGAAGCCCUGCCGGGAGACCUCGNNNNNNNNNNGUGCGCCACCCCCUCCUCCCCAUCUGGCCGCCACUCCCCCCAUUUGGGAGGGCUGCCGCACCCCCUUGGGUGGGAACCCUAGGGGUGGCACCCCCUCUCCCCUUCCCCUAUAUAUAGUGGGCACUUUUGGCCUUUGGAGGAUACAGUUUUCCCUCUCCCUCGGCGCAGCCCUGCACUUCUUCCUCCUCCUCUCUGCCGGCGCUUGGCGAAGCCCUGCCGGGAGACCUCGUCUCUCCACCAACACCACGCCGUCGUGUUGCUGGUCUUCUUCCCCAACCUCUCCCUCCUCCUUGCUGGAUCAAGGUGCGGGAGACGUCACCGGGCUGCACGUGUGUUGAACGCGGAGGUGUCGUUGUUCGGCACUAGAUCGGAAUCGCUGCGAGUACGACUCCAUCAACCGCGUUCUAGCAACGCUUCCGCUUAGCGAUCUUCAAAGGUACGAAGAUGCUCUUACCCCUCUCUCGUUGCUGGUCUCUCCAUAGGAAGAUCUGAACAUGCGUAAGAAAUUUUUUGAAUUCAUGCUACGUUUACCAACAAUACUGUUAAUCAAUCACUACUUACAUUUCACCUUCUCUAGAUGCAACUCAUUGCGGUCGCAUUGAAUACUAAUGGGAUUAUCGUUUGCAAAAUGCGCGAUCCUUCUAGUGAAUCGCCAUAUUUGGAUUAAUUAGCCUAUUAGACUAUUGCACACGGGUUACUAACAUGACCGUCCGUAAUAACAGUUAUGGUAUUCUUCGAGUCCUUCCACACAUAAAAAUUAUUCCGGACAUCGAANNNNNNNNNNGGAAAUUUUUUGAAUUUAUGCUACGUUACCCAACAGUAGCGACGGACGUGCUCCUCGCUGACACGGUGACGUACCACCUCCGCGGUGUCUGGAAGCCUCGGCACCCUCACUGGCCCACGCGACCGCCACCAAACAAGGAUCGGGUCAACGAUGGGCUGGCUCCUCACCAACCUACGCCCCCCGGAAGGUAGCACCUCCCAAUACGAGCCGGGCGGAGCCCAGUCCCGGACUGGGCCCCUCUGAUCAAGAAGGUGUCCUCCGCCGAGUCGACGACGAGGAUGCGGGAUAGGCAUCGUAAAAUGAACUAAAAAAAUAAACUAGUUCUAUUAAUGUUCUUGCUAAAAAUAAACUAUUAACACUUAAGCAUAUACCAUAGCAAAAUUAAACUAUUAACACUUAAGCAUAUACAAUAGCAAAAUUAAGCAAUAAUCUAAGAAACACUAUUAGAACUUAAGCAUAUACACUAUACAAUAGCAAAAGUAAAUGACAAAAAAAUUCUUCUUCUUGUAACCCUAAACUAAUUUUUCCUCUUCUUCUAUUUCUCCUCUUCUUCUACUUCUUCUACUUCUACUUCUCCUCUUCUUGUAGUACUUCUCCUCUUCUCUUCUUCUACUUCUCCUCUCCUCUUCUAAUUUUUUAUCUUCUUCUACUUCUCCUCUUCUUCUAUUUUUCCUCUUCUUCUCCUCUCCUCCUCUUCUUAUUCUCCUGUUUCUUCUUUUCUUCUCCUCCUCUUCUUAUUUUCAUUUUUCCUAAUCUUAUUUUCUUAUUUUUGUUCAUAUUUCUUCUUCUUGUAACCCUAACCUAAUUCUAAAUAUUACUAACCCUAAUAAUCUAGCACAAACCUAAUAACAAUAGGAAUUAAAUAACAAAAAAAUCUUUUUCUUUUUCUUCUUUUCUUCUCCUUUUUCUGCUUUUCUUCUCCUUUUUCUUCCUUUCUUCUCCUUUUUCUUCUUCUCUGCUCCUUUUUCUUCUUUUCUUCUACUAGCCGGAGUGUUGGGGAGGAGGGGCGGGGGGCUUACCGGUCGGAGGUGUCGACGGCGCGCGGCGAGGAGGACGGCAGGCGGCGGCGAGCAGGACGUCGGGCAGCCUGACGGCGUCGUCGAGUUCGUCGGUGUGCCGCGCCGGGUAGGAGAACGAGAGGAAGAAGAAGAGAAAUGGACGAUUUGGGUUGGAAUUUUUUGAAGUCCUGCUUAUAUAGGUGGAACUUUAGUCCCGGUGCGUGGCUCGAACCGGGACUAAAGACCCCCUUUAGUCCCGGUUGGAGCCUCGGCCCGGGACUAAAGCCCCUCAUUUCCCGCCUCCUCGCCUGCCGAAAAGGGGUCUUUAGUCCCGGGGCGUGGCUCCAACCGGGACUAAAGGGGGUCUGUAGUCCCGGGGCGUGGCUCCAACCGGGACUAAAGGCGGUCUGUAGUCCCGGGGCGUGGCUCCAACCGGGACUAAAGCCCCUCCUCGGUUGUACGAUAAGUUUAGUCCCACCUCGCCUAGCGAGGGGGACUAACACUUGUUUAUAAGCCCCGUUGCAGCUUCUCCAUCAAGCUCCUCUCUAAAGCAGGCUUACGGGCCUAAACUUACUGAAAAUUGUAACUAUAUUAGAAAUUAUAGGGAAAAUACAAUCUAAAUUCAAAUGAGAAUUUAGAUUGAAUUUUCUCUAUGAUUUCGAAUAUAGUUUCAAUUUUUUCUAUUUUCAUAAUUAAUAAUUUUGACUAUCCAAACUAUUAUCUAUUUUGUUAUUUUCUAUUAAAAACCAUGUUUAUUAAAAAAUUCUUUUUGCAUAUUUGAGAAUUUGACAAAACUAUGAUAAUGAGAAGUGUUUCAAAUUGAAUAAAUAAUGCAAAACUAUUUUUUAUUUUCAUAAUUAAUAAUUUUGACUAUCCAAACUAUUAUCUAUUUUGUUAUUUUCAAUUAAAAACUAUGUUUAUUAAAAAUUAUUUUUGCAUAUUUGAGAAUUUGACAAAACUAUGAUAAUGAAAAGUCUUUCAAAUUGAAUAAAUAAUGCAAACUAUUUUUUAUUUUCAUAAUUAAUAAUUUUGACUAUCCAAACUAUNNNNNNNNNNAAAAAGUGUUUCAAAUUGAAUAAAUAAUGCAAAAAUAUUUUUUAUUUUCAUAAUUAAUAAUUUUGACUAUCCAAACUAUUAUCUAUUUUGUUAUUUUCAAUUAAAAACCAUGUUUAUUAAAAAUUCUUUUUGCAUAUUUGAGAAUUUGACAAAACUAUGAUAAUNNNNNNNNNNNNNNNNNNNNNNCAUCUCUUACAAAGGGAUUUCAGUGUUUUGAACUUAUUUGAACUCCAUACUUUUUGUGUGUUCAAAAUGCACCAUUCAAAGGCACAUCACAAAAUUUCAACAAUUUUGACUUCAUUUGGUAUAUUUCAUGGAUUUACUUAUUUUUUUUGAGCUAGUUGACCCUGAAAUUGAAAAGCACUACAAAUGAACUCUGAAAAUGUUGAAAGUUGGCAUGCUAUCAUCAUUUCACCCACGUAGCAUGUGUUAAAAAGUUGAGAGGGCUACGACAAAAACUGGAUGCAGUUCGUGUACAAAACGGAUAAUCUCUCUCAAAGUAGCAGUGUUUCGAACGAGAACUCAUCUCUUACAAAGGGAUUUCAUUUUUUGAACUUAUUUGAACUCCAUACUUUUUGUGUGUUCAAAAUGCACCAUUCAAAGGCACAUCACAAAAUUUCAACAAUUUUGACUUCAUUUGGUAUAUUUCGUGCAUUUACUUAUUUUUUUGAGCUAGUUGACCCUGAAAUUUAAAAGCACUACAAAUGAAUUCUGAAAAUGUUGAAAGUUGGCAUGCUAUCAUCAUUUCACCCACAUAGCAUGUGUUAAAAAGUUGAGAGGGCUACGACAAAAACUGGAUGCAUUUCGUAUACAAAACGGACAAUCUCUCUCGAAGUAGCAGCGUUUCGAACGAGAACUCAUCUCUUACAAAGGGAUUUCAUUUUUUUGAACUUAUUUCAACUCCAUACUUUUUGUGUGUUCAAAAUGCACCAUUCAAAGGCACAUCACAAAAUUUCAACAAUUUUGACUUCAUUUGGUAUAUUUCAUGCAUUUACUUGUUUUUUGAGCUAGUUGACCCUAAAAUUGAAAAGCACUACAAAUGAACUCUGAAAAUGUUGAAAGUUGGCAUGCUAUCAUCAUUUCACCCACGUAGCAUGUGUUAAAAAUUUGAGAGGGCUACGAAAAAAACUGGAUGCAGUUCGUGUACAAAACGGACAAUCUCUCUCGAAGUNNNNNNNNNNUGCAGUUCGUGUACAAAACGGACAAUCUCUCUCGAAGUAGCAGGGUUUUGAACGAGAACUCAUCUCUUACAAAGGGAUUUCAUUUUUUUGAAAUUAUUUGAACUCCAUAAUUUUUGUGUGUUCAAAAUGCACCAUUCAAAGGCACAUCACAAAAUGGACAAUCUCUCUCGAAGUAGAAGCGACCCCCACAAUAAGAGACGACAUUCUUCUUCUCUCAUAUAUGGUGGACACUAGCUCACCUGAUUUUUCAACCGUCGAUGAUGGUCGCUACUCCUACUUCCCCUAGUGCAUAACCAAUAUCUAGCACAAUAAGAAGAAGGAGAAGCGAUCCCCACAACAAGAGUGGUUCCGCGGCACGCCACGUGGUUCCGCUGCACGCCACGUGGGACUAAUGGUCUUUCAUUUUUAAAUGACUGUUUUAAUCAAAAACAGAUCUGUUACAAAAGGGAUUUCAUUUUUUGAACUUAUUUGAACUGAAGACUUUUUGUAUAUAUAUGUGGUCGAAAUGCAUGAUACCAUGAAGUUAGAAAGGGCUAAACCAUUCAAAAGUAGCAAAUGAAAUUAGAAAGGGCUAAACCAUUCAAAUUUGGAAACUAUAAUGGCACAAACAGAAACUAGACAUAUAUAAAUUGGUCCAAGAAGUACAUGAUACUAGUCCAAACAGUACAUAAUAAUAGCUACCAUAGAUAUAUAUACAAGUGUUCGACGUUCAGAACACUACUCGUCUGAAUCAUCUAAAUCAGAAUGUCCACCUUCCUCGAGGUGACGCUGGCCAUAGUGGACGACUUGAAUCUUGCGGUACAACUCGUAUGAAACGUAUGCAUCUUUUGCUGCAUACUCAAUGUUGAUAUCAUCAAGUGGGCCCUUCUCCCAAAGUUUGUGCUGAGACUUUGGGAAACUGGUCUUCAUAUCAGCAUAUGAAUCGUCGACCAAGGCAACUGCCAUAUGAGCCAUCGAAGUCCUGUCAUGUCGAAGCGUGAAUAUCGUUUGGAGAUCAACGAGGCAACCAGGUGGUAUCUCAAUACCGAAGCUGUGCCUCAUCUUCAGCUUGUCGUUCCUUAUGUCAACGGAAGCAAAAGUGAUGCCGCUGCGAAGGAAGUCCAUGAGUUCUGGACAAUGCUUGUCACUCCUGCAACAGAAAAAAAUUAAAAUGGAACAAAUGUUACAUACUGCUGCAAUAAGGAAACAUGUUUCACUACAACUAAAGAGAAAAUUAUCUUUAGGAUUCAAAUAGAACAUAUGCAAUGGAACCUAGAGAGAUCACUAUAGCUAUCCAAUGGAACCUAGAGAGAUCACUAGCUAUAUGCAAUUUUCAUGACUAUGACAUAUCAUAUUGCUAUCCAAUGGAACCUAGAGAGAUCACUAGCGAUAUUCAAUUUUCAUAACCUUGGAUCAAAGAACACCGCAUAAAAUUGUAUCACUACAACUAUGAUUUCAAUGGAACAUAUUGAACCAAUCAGAUUUUUCAGAUUGUGGAACACUAUUCCAAUCAGAUUGUGUUCCCUUCAACUAAUCAAAAUUGUUUCACUACAACUAUUUGAAGCGAACCAACUAUGAUUCCAAUGGAACAUAUUAAACACUAGUUGAUUCUANNNNNNNNNNCAAUUAGUUUGUGCUCCCCUUCAACUAAUCAAAAUUGUUUCACUACAACUAUUUGAAGGGAACCAACUAUGAUUGAAACAAAUAAACUUACAAUGCCAUUAUCUUGGAUCAAAGAAAGCCUCAAAACUUACCUCGCCCAUUGAAAGAUCAAGACAUGGCGUGCGAAGCAUAGUUGGAUGACGGCAACACCGCGUUGAUCGGUCGUGUACUCCAGAUCAAGCCCCAAGAACUUCUCAUGAUCCACUACGUGGUCCAACCAUCGUUCCUUCAACUGUUGAAGAAAAAAGGCACCUCCCUGCUCAGGUUCGUGUACAUGACACGGAGCUUGGUCGUGCCAUGUGCGAGCACCUCAUGAAAGCUAGUUGGCAUGGUGGAAGAAGAGAAGGGAAGAAGAGAGGAGAAGAACAGAGAGGGCGACGCGAGAGAGAAGAAGAAACAGAGAAAUGGCGACUGUACGCUUCGGUUCGUGCUUUUCAUCGCCCGAAACGACGCGGGAUGCAAACCGUUUGGGCCUUUAGUCCCGGGUUGAGCCACCAACCGGGACUAAAGAGGUAUACCAAACGGUUGCCACCACUACGACAGGGCACGUGUUAGGCCUUUAGUCCCGGGUUGAGCCACCAACCGGGACUAAAGAGGUAUACCAACGGUCUCCACCACUACGGCGGGCCACGUGUUAGUCCUUUAGUCCCGGGUUGAGCCACCGACCGGGACUAAAGGGGGAUACGAACGGUUGCCACCACCACUGCCCACCGCGUAGCCCUUUAGUCCCGGUUUGGGAAACGAACCGGGACUAAAGGCUCCUUACGGGACGGGACUAAAGCCUCGAGGGAGGCAUUGAGAAUUGGGGCGACGUGGCCGGGCCUUUAGUCCGGGCCCAGAGGCAGGCCGGGACUAAAUGGUCCCGGCCAAAGGCCCGUUUUCCACUAGUGUAUACAGUGUAUCCAAUGGUAUGGUAGGCUUCGUCCUUGAGCUGUAAAUUAUCCUCAAUGCAUCUAUGUGUUAACAUUUUCCUCAAUGCAAAUCGAUCUAAGUUGUUAUGAUGUCGCAAUGCAAGAAGAAACCUUUUUGUAUAAGCCAUUGUAACUCAGUCUUACUGGAUAAUUGUCACAAUAUACUAUUUGUUUAUCUCUGUUGUACGUGGAAUUUCAGCAGAGUGUCUCAAUAGUAAUGUCAACCAAACACAAGCUUGAUCAGACCUAAACUUUCCACUCGUCCUUCUCAUGAAAUUUAUUACAUAAAAAAAAACAAUAGCAGGUUGUUUCCAUUUCUAUUUUGCUGUAGACUGUGUUAAAGGAAGACCAUAUAAAAUAUCUCUGAAAUGAUGUUGCUAUUGCAGACGGACUUCAAAGUUUUUGAAGUGCCUUAUAGUGUCUAUCUUUUUCUUUGGUGCCAACUGCAUAACUAAACUGUACUGAACAAAAUUUUAAAUAGAUAGCUACUCUAACCGGCAUUGGUGUGAUUUUCACUCCUUAGUAUUAAGAAUGUGCAAAUUUCCUUCCACCACUGAUUAGAACAUGAAGACCUGAACAACAGCAAGCAAAUUGGGGUAUAAAACUGUGAAGAAAUGGAACCCAAUCAGUACAUGAGUGUGUAUACAGAGAAAUAAAUGAAUACAACACAGUGAUGAAUAAAUACAUCAGGUGGUAUAUAUCAUCAUCCAAGCUCUGCAACUGAUUUGUCACAUGAUAUGAUGGGCAUGGCUGCUGUUAUCAAAAAGAAGAACCCGACUGAACAUACGAAAAAAAUCAAAUCAAAUCAAAUCAUGGAAGAUAUGGGACAAAUAAAUGACAAAUCAAGAAAUUACUUGUUGGUACGGCAUUUCCCAUGUUUCUGUGGCUUUGUCGAAACCCCAUAAAAAUGACGAUCAAGAACAGCCAAUUGGAUGGUCCUCUUCAUGGCAGUUUCUUUCCCGUAAUCUAGCGAGGAACAUCUGUAUUGUGUCAUUGAGGAGAUAGACGGCUGGAUAUAAUAUGAACAAUUUUUUGGCACUUCCACCAAAUACUUCAAUCAGUUUGAAGCAAGGAAAGGGCUAUCAUGCCGAAAACUUGCAUAGUGCUAAUGGUAAGUGCAACAACCUAGGUCCAUAUAGCCUGACAAACCUGUGUAAGAGAAUAAAUUAGUAACAUGCAAGUAUAUUUAUUACUAACAGUUACGAAUAUUCCUCAUUUCCUCUAGUGUACAUGCCUGCACCUGCAGUUUACAACCCUAAAUAAUAGUCUACUGCAUCUGUACUUAUCAGUUUUUGUUACAAAUAAACAUGUACUGCAGUCUCUUUAGUUUACAAAAAUAUUGGAUCCCUAUUUCAGUGGAUGCAGCAAACGCAAGUGUUUGUACCUUAGUAAAAGAUCAAUCUCGUCCUUGGCCAUGUGUUUGCUGAUGAGGUUCAAGCCGUGUUGUUUAUAGGGCAUGCCUAUUGGCCACACAUGUCUUUCUCCCAUGGCCCAGUUUGACCGUUUGAAACCUCUGCAUUAUCCACCAUGGUCCUUUGUCAGCAUCAUCUUUUAUCUCUUCAUCGACGAACUUUCUGUUUCUAGUGUCGGGGUUCAAUUUUUGUUAUGUCGACUAAGGAGAGAAUACACCACACUGAGCGAUGGUUUUGUGGCAUAAAUUACCAUUGCUAUGUAUAUGACCAGCAGGUGGCAGCAUCUAGUCGAGAAAAACAGGAAUCAAACAAAUGUAAGAUAUAUUAACCGAGCAAUCUCUCUUCUCGAGGAGUCUCACAAGAUAUGUAUUCACCUGAAACAAACAUCAGUUUUUAAAUAUGAUUUUGAGAAACUUAGGUAAUCUUGUCUCUAAUUACCUUAAGAAAUAUCAACAAUAAUACGAUAGGAAAUGAGGCAUACUAACUGUUAUUUCUCACUCAUGAACAAAUUGCUCAAUCUGCAGCUAAAGGAUGAAUAACAAAUAAUCUAUGGAUAUGCCUACACUUUAUAUGCGUUUAAGCAUAAUGAAUAUAUAUUCCAGACUUGCAAGAAUAAUAAGAACAUAUUCAACGACACAUACCAUAUACAGAUUGUAUGACAACAAUCAGAUCUUUCACACCUCAACCAAGAAAUAGCCCUCUACUGAAAGAUUAUUUGAUAUACAAAAAGGAGAAAAAUAUUCGCAACCGAUCUCCAUGCCCCCUCCAUAGAUUCAAAAAGAAAAAGAAAAGAAAUCAUAUCAACAUAUAGUUUUGCUAAAUAUGAGAAAUUAGUCGAAAACCUCAUGCAAGAUAGGCAUCAAUGUCUUUCUUUAUGAAAAGGCCGUCGGAGAAAAUAUCGAUUAACGUUAGGAGAAGGGUUACAGCCUUGAAGGUUAUCCCGGAACCCUUGGCAGCAUCCUUGAGAUAGUUGCUUAAUUACUUUAAACCUGAGCUUGAUGCCUCCCGCACUGACGACCACAUGUACAGGUAGAACCACAAGAAUCUUUUCUCUUUCAGUCUGAGAGUUGGCUGGGCAUAUAACUGAGAUCAGGGGCAUAGAGCUUCUGAGUAUAGGUUUCCACAUGUACAGGUUUCCCAUGUGCGGGUGUUAUCACCUUUGUGCGCCUGCAUCCGAGGAUGACAGAUAAGCCGCCAGGUUUGUGUACUUUCAGAUCUGGCGGGGAGAUCAAUCAAGUGUUGAGCCUGUAUACUUCCGUAUCUUGACUGAAGAUCACCGCCAAGAGCAGCGUGAAGAUGGUUGACGGCGUGGAUUUCACUGGAUUCGGCAAGAUGCCUGAAGGUCACCGGCAAGAACAGCGCGAGGAUAGCCGGCGACGUGGGAUUUGAUGGCAUGAGUAUCACUCGAGCAGGAGAGUAUCGUGUGGCGGCGAAUGAGAGAUUAGUAGAAAGUUUUUCUUUUCUUUUCCAAUGAUUAGGGAUAGGGCAGUUUUUCAGGGCAGGUUUAUGAAUAACUCAGAGAUUUAAUGGUCGUGACUUGUAGGUAUUGUUCUUUUUUCCGAGGAUAUGUACGUAUUGUUCAAUGUUUAAUCUUUAUAACUAUUGUUCAAUGGUUUUCAAUCUGAGUCGUUCUAGUUUCGACCCAUAAAAUUGACGGUUGUGAUUUUUUUCUUUUUCUUCAAUUAAUUAGAUUAAAUCUGGCCGUUAUAACUCGGUCCCAUCAAGAUUAACGGCUCCUAUUUACUAAUUAACGUGGUAAUUUCUAGGGAGUCUUUAAUUAGUAUAAGAUAAGAGUAUAGAGUAUAGAUUGUGGUCGUCCUAAUUUGAUGUACUAGUGUUGGACCUUUCCUAUGUGACUCCUGACUAGUAUGAUCAGACAUGAUCAGUACGUUAGUUAUGUGCAGCUUCCGUAUGCUUAAUGUUGGUAAAAUUUGCUGCAGUUUUAUAUCAAGCUCGUUCCUGCAUUUUUAUUUUCGGCUACUGAAUUUUCGCUCCUGGCUAAUCGACAGAGAGGGAAAUAUUCUGUGGUGCACAACUCGCUGCUCAACUAAAACAUUUGUUUAGUUUUGCCAUCUCGAAUUGUUACUUGUUGUUCCGUAGCUGAAUUCGGAAGGAGUAAAAGCAAUCUGUAUUUGUGUUAUCUCUUGUCUCAAAUUCAGAGCUUGAAACUUAAGUUUGUGAUUCACCAGUUUCUGGCCUUGGAGCCGGGGAAAUACACUUGACUUACUUUUGUACUAUAGUAUAUAAAUUUUCAAUAAAUAAACCAACAUUGACUUUACAGCGAAAAAGACAAAAAACAUUUGUUACUAGUCGUCAACCCGUGUAUCCACUAGUAGAAAAAGGCUGAUUUGUUCCAGUUUCAGAGACCCAUUAGCCCCGGUUUUUGAACCGAGACUAAAGGGUCGGGACUAAAGGCCCAAACCUUUAGUCCCGGUUGGCUUAUGGACCGGGCCUAAAGAAGCUUCACGUGGCCGCUGCGGGGAGCCUAGGCAGGAGGAACUUUAGUCCCGGUAGGUCACACCAACCGGGACCAAAUUGGGGGGGGNNNNNNNNNNNNNNNNNNNNNNNNNNNNNNNNNNNNNNNNNNNNNNNNNNNNNNNNNNNNNNNNNNNNNNNNNNNNNNNNNNNNNNNNNNNNNNNNNNNNCGUUUGGACACCGUUUAAAAUCCUCCUCUGAAAAGGGUCAAAAACACGGAAAAAACAGGAAGUGGCACUUGGCACUAAGUUUAUAAGUUAGUCCCAAAAAAGAUAUAAAAGGCAUACAAAACAUCCAAAGUUUAACAAGAUAAUAGCACGGAACCAUAAAAAAUUAUAGAUACGUUGGAGACGUAUCAGAGUUGGAUGCCUACCUUGGAGCAAUAGAGCCCCAGAGCGCCCUUGGCGAAGUUAGUGUUGUUGUCGGUGAUGAUGCUGUGGGGGACGCCAUAUCGAACAGAGAUGUCUGUGAUGAACCUGACAGCCAUGGAGCCAUCAAGCUUCUUGAUGGGCCUAACUUCAAUCCACUUGGUGAAUUUGUCGACGGCCACCAAGAGGUCAGUCAUGCCACCACGAGCCGUCUUGAAAGGCCCCACCAUGUCCAGCCCCCAGACAGCGAAAGGCCAUGACAAGGGGAUGGUCUUGAGGGCCGAAGGAGGCAUGCGGCUCUGCGUGCCAAAGAAUUGGCAGCCCUCGCAUUUGUUGACCAAGUCCACGGCCUCCUCGAGGGCCGUGGGCCAGUAGAAUCCAUGGCGGAAUGCCUUGGCCACUGACGCCAGCUGUGCUUCCCUGGCAAUGGCGCCAGAAAAGUGUUGAUCCUGCAAUCUCUAGUGUUAGCUAGACGAAUGCUUAUGACAACGAACCUUCUCCUGCAAUGGCACCAGAAGAAUGCUACUAGCACUCCCCAACAAUGAAACUGGAAGAAUGUUGUUGAUGGCCCACCAGCGCGUGGGUUCGCAACAGUUUUCGAGGGUAGAGUAUUCAACCCAAUUUAUUGGUUUGCACAUCGGGAGGUGAGAGUAUACUCUCAACUAUUAGCAACUGAAUUUGUCGGAUUCAACCACACUUGAAAGAUUAGUAUCUGCAAGCACAGUAGUAACAGCAGAGUAAUAUGAUAACAACGGUGUCAAAAACGAUCUGUUGACAGCAGACUAUUCCUAACAAUUGUAUCAAUGGGGCCUUCGUUGCCGCGUUGACGGAAGUUGUCAAUUCCCGUCAACGGUAGGUAAACCAACAGUGUAGCAGGUAGUAGCAGUGUAACGAGCAAUAGCAGUGGCAAGGAACAGCAGUAGUAACAACAGUAGCAAGUAGCAACAGUAGCAAGCGACAAUAGUAGCAACAAUAGCGGCAGAGCAAGACAAGUAACAGCAGUAGCAACAGUAGCAGCAGCAGCAGAGCAAGACAAGUAACAUUAGUAGCAACAGUAGGACAAACUCGUAGGCAAUGGGUCGGUGAUUUGUUUGGAUGAUAUUCAUCAUGCAACAGCUAUAACACGGAGAGAUAUGUGGCUAGCUCACGUUCGUCAAUGUGAUGUAGGCAUGCAUUCCAUGUGUCGACAUACGUGCUUAGGGAAAAGAACUUGCAUGACAUCUAUUGUCCAUCCCUCCCGUGGCAGCGGGGUCCAAAAGAAAACUAUGGGAUAUUAAGGUUCUCCUUUUAAUAAAGAACCGGACCAACGCAUUAGCACUUGGUGAACACAUGAACUCCUCAAACUAUGGUUAUCACCGGGAGUGGUUCCGGUUAUUGUCACUCCGGGGUUGCUGGAUCAUAACACAUAGUAGGUAACUACAACUUGCAAGAUCGGAUCUACAACACACAUAUAUUGGUGACAACAUAAUAAUUUCAGAUCUGAAAUCAUGGCACUAGGGCCCUAGUGACAAGCAUUAAGCAUGGCAAAGUAGUAGCAACAUCAAAUCUCAGAACAUAGUGGAUACUAGGGAUCAACCGCCAUCAAAACUAACUCGAUUACAUGAUAGAUCUCAUCCUACUCAUCACCGCCAGCGAGCCUNNNNNNNNNNNNNNNNNNNNNNNNNNNNNNNNNNNNNNNNNNNNNNNNNNNNNNNNNNNNNNNNNNNNNNNNNNNNNNNNNNNNNNNNNNNNNNNNNNNNUCUAUAUAUGAUAUAAAGUAUAAUAAUUGGGCACAUGAUUCUUCAAAGAAACAAAUUUGAUUUCUCUCGGCUAGGUAGAUUCAAAUCCCGAGAGACAGACUUAAUGGAUAUGUUGGAUGUUUAUCUUUUCCAAACUUUAACAAAUAAACUCAUCCUGAGUGUACCACUAAAGAAUCAUGAAAAUCUUUUCGUGCGUACUUUUUAUUUUACAUUGCAUAUGCAUGUAUUUUCUUUCUCACACGUUUGUUAAAGACAAACUAACUGAUGGUUGUGUUUCAUGAAGUUAAUGGCUCAUGCAUUCAGUCAUGAGUUUUUACUGUUGGGACUCAUGAAUCAUAUAUUUUUCACCUUUUUCUAUUGAUGAUAACGAGAGAUGUAUUUUUAAGGUCAUAAGUGUCAACCCUUGCAUGUUCACCCUUAAUGUCCUACUAGUCAACUAAUGUUUUAUAGUACAAUGCCGGCCUCUUAUAAUGGUAAUCAAUCACUACUUACAUUUCACCUUCUCUGGAUGCAACUCACUGCGGUCGCAUUGACUACUAAUGGGAUUAUCGUUUGCAAAAUAUGUGAUCCUUUUAGUGAAUCGCCAUUUUUGGAUUAAUUAUCCUAUUAGACUAUUGCACGCGGGUAACUAACAUGACCGUGUGUAAUAACAGCGAUGGUAUUCUUCGAGUCCUUCCACACAUAAAAUUAUUCCGGACAUCGAAAUCUAAAUAUUUGAUGCCCCGCCCCCUACAAAAUAGGGCAAAAGGAAAAAAAAUAUUUUUUUCAAAAGAAUGUACAGAAUACAUGGCAUAGACGAAUGGGGAUAUUUCCAUCAUAUGUGUAUGGAAAUCCACAAAACCGAAUGGGCACGCAAACUGGAAUAACAGAAGUAUGGUACUUUUUAGUUCGACAUAUCUUAUUGCUAAUGAGAGGUAAUCAUAUCUUGUUGUCAUGCAUGGGGGCUCAUAGAAUGUCUAUACGUGCACACAUCAUUAUUGAAUUUAUGUCCUACAAAAUUUAUCUCAACCUUUUUUUAUAGAUGCACGAUAUAGAUAGAAAAUUUUUGUCAUGUAAACAAUGUGAGCUCACCAGAUGUCCACGUGUAACAACUCCAAUUGUCAACCGGUGUGAUCGCUAACUAACCCACUCUUAAAGAAUUUGGCAUGCUAUAUCUCGUCUUUGGAAUUCACACUUCGCCUUGUGUUAUUAUUUACUAAAACUAGCUAGCAUGCAAUUGUUAACCACAUCCCCUGAGUUGUUCUCUAGGGAAUCCUAUUUUUGUCUUGUGAAAAAGGUCCAUUUUUCACAUUGUACAACAAAAACUUCUUUAUGUGAUAUAAAGUAUAAGAAAUGGGUGCUGGAUUCUUCAAAUAAAGAAAUUCAUUUUUUUCUUGACUAGGUAGAUUCUAGAUCCGAAAGACGGACUUAAUGGAUAUGUUGGAUGUUUGUCUUGUUCUGCAAAUAAACUCGUCCUGAGUGUACCACUAAAAAAUCAUGAAAAUAUUUUUUUGCGUACUUUUUUGUUUUGUCAUUGCAUAUGCAUGUAAUUUGUUUUCACGCAUCGUAUGUUAAAGACAAACUAACAUAUGGUUGUGUUUCAUGAAGUUAAGGGCUCGUGCAUUCAGUCAUGAUUCUUUAAUGUUGGGACUCGUGAAUCAUAUAUUCCAUUCCCAACUGCACGUACAUACCAUCUACAAGAUGCUCAUGAUUUGACAUGUCUUUCGGAUGCAAGAUCGGUAAGAUGACCCAUCCAUGAUGUUCAUUGUGCGGGUUGUGUAAAAUCGAUACCGUCACGGGUGUAUCCCUAGAGAAUAUGUUUUUUCAUGUAAUCGUUUUGAGUGUGGUUAGAUUUGAAUUUAUUUUUUUUUCUUUCACAUAUGCCACACCGACACAAAAUGAUUUGCACUUUNNNNNNNNNNNNNNNNNNNNNNNNNNNNNNNNNNNNNNNNNNNNNNNNNNNNNNNNNNNNNNNNNNNNNNNNNNNNNNNNNNNNNNNNNNNNNNNNNNNNAUAACACAAGUAUACGAAGUAUACAGAUUGCUACAGACUGGUCUGUUUUUGACAGAUUCUAUUUUUGUUGAGUUGGUUGCUUGUUUUGAUGAAACUAUGGAUAGUAUCAGGGGGUAUUAGCCAUGUAAAAGUGAGAAUAUGGUAAUCUAACACCAAUAUAAAUAGAAAUCAAGAUUCCUACAGUACCUAAAGAGGUGGUAGCUUGUUUUCUUGUGCUAAUGAUAUCACGAGUUUUUGUUUAAGUUUUGUGUUGUGAAGUUUUCAAGUUUUGGGUGAUGUACUCAUGGACAAAGAGAUAAGGAAUGUAAAGAGCUCAAGCAUGGGGAUGCCCAAGGCAUCCCAAGCCAAAUUCAAGGACACCAAAAAGCCUAAGUUUGGGGAUGCCCCGGGAAGGCAUCCCCUCUUUCGUCUUCAAUCCAUCGGUAACAUUACUUGGAGCUAUAUUUUUAUUCACCACAUGAUAUGUGUUUUGCUUGGAGCGUCUUGUAUCGUAGGAGUAUUUUCUUUUUGUUGUGUCACAAUAAUCCUUGCUGCACACCUUUUGAGAGAUACAUGCACUCAUCGUGAUUUUGCUAGAAUGCUCACCGUGCUUCACUUAUAUCUUUUGAGCUAGAUAAUUUUGCUCUAUGUGCUUCACAUAGAUCUUUUAGAGCACGGCGGUGCGUGACUUGGUAGUUGGCUUGUGCUAUGGAAGUAGUCCCGAAGGUGAUAGGUACCCAAAGAGGAUACAAAAACCUCCAUCUUCAUGUGCAUUGAGUAGAAAGAGAAGUUUUGGUUCCUCUCAAUUAGUUUUGAGACGUGGAUUUGGUAACAUUAAGAGUUAUGUUAGUAGGGUGUUGUGAAUCUAGAAAUACUUGUGUUGAAGUUAGUGAUUCCCAUAACAUGCCUUGUGUUGAAGUUAGUGAUUCCCGUAACAUGCACGUAUGGUGAACCGUUAUGUUAGGAAGUCGGAGCAUAAUUGAUCUAUUGAUUGUCAUCCUUUGUGUUGCGGUCGGGAACGCGCGAUGGUUAACACCUACCAACCCUUCCCCUAGGAGUAUGCGCUUAGCACUUUGUUUCGAUUACUAAUAAAAACUUUUGCAACAAGUAUGUGAGUUCUUCAUGACUAAUGUGAGUCCAUGGUAUAGAUGCACUUUCACCUUCCACCAUUUCUAGCCUCUCUAGUGCCGCGUAAUUUUCGCCGGUGCACAAACCGACCAUAUGCCUUGCUCAAAACAGCCACAAUACCUAUCUAGUAUGGCAUUUUCAUAGCCAUUCCGAGAUAUAUUGCCAUGCAAAUCCCACCGUUACGUCUCAUGACUUGUGCCGUCCUCUCAUAUUGCCAUUGCAUGAUCGUAAGAUAACUAGCGAGAUGUUUCAACGUCAUACGCCAAGCUAGAUCGUUGCACAUGAGGGUACACUGCCGGAGGCAUUUCCUAUAGAGUCAUCAUCGUUCUAAGCUUUGAGUUGUGAGUAAAUAAAAGUGUGAUGAUCNNNNNNNNNNNNNNNNNNNNNNNNNNNNNNNNNNNNNNNNNNNNNNNNNNNNNNNNNNNNNNNNNNNNNNNNNNNNNNNNNNNNNNNNNNNNNNNNNNNNAAUAGCAUGAAACCAUCAAAAAUUAUAGAUACGUUGGAGACGUAUCACCCCACUACCAAAAAAUGUUUUAUGGUGUUUACCUUGCUGCAAAGAAGUUGAAGCAAUACUUCCAAGAGCAUGCUAUCACCAUGGUGAGCACUGCCCGCUUUCAGAAAUCAUGGGCAACCGUGAUGCAACUGGCAGGAUUGCCAAGUGGUCCAUCGCCAUGGUGGAUCACAAUAUCCGCUACGAGCCUCGCACCGCCAUCAAAUCUCAGGUGGUGGCCGACUUCUUGGUCGAAUGGGGUGAAACCCAUUUCGAGCCACCACCUCCAGACUCUACGCAUUGGCGGAUGCACUUCGACGGCUCAAAGAUGCGGACUGGUCUGGGAUCCAGCAUCGUCUUGACGUCUCCGAAAGGAUACCAGCUCAAGUAUGCUCUCCAGAUCCACUUCGCCACCUCCAACAACGUCGCCGAGUACGAAGCACUCGCUCAUGGCCUCCGGCUCGCCAAGGAGAUUGGCAUCCGUCGGCUCAUCUGCUUCGGCGACUCAGACCUGGUGGUGCAGCAAGUUUCUGGCGAAUGGGACGCCAAGGACGCCAACAUGGCGAGCUACCGCUUCCUCAUCCAGCAGCUUAGCGGCCCCUUCGAGGGUUGCGAGUUCCACCAUGUUCCCAGGGCACACAACGAGGCGGCUGAUACAUUGGCCAAGAUUGGCUCCAUGAGGCAGGCUAUCCCAGCCGGGGUCUCCUUCGAGCAGCUCCACAAGCCGUCUAUCAGGCCGUCUCCAGAGUCGGCAUCGAUCUUCGUGCCGGCUGAUUCUUCAGUGCAAGCGAUGUCGGCUCCACCAGCUACACCGGCUAUAGCUCCUGUGCCGGCUACACUGGCUCUGCUGACUCCAAUUGCGGCACCGGCUGAAUCUUCGGUGCAAGCGCCGUCGGCUCCACCAGCUACACCAGCUACAACUCCUGUGCCGGCUACGCUGGCUCUGCUGACUCCAAUUGCGGCACGGGCUGAAUCUUUNNNNNNNNNNNNNNNNNNNNNNNNNNNNNNNNNNNNNNNNNNNNNNNNNNNNNNNNNNNNNNNNNNNNNNNNNNNNNNNNNNNNNNNNNNNNNNNNNNNNNNNNNNNNNNNNNNNNNNNNNNNNNNNNNNNNNNNNNNNNNNNNNNNNNNNNNNNNNNNNNNNNNNNNNNNNNNNAGGGGGUGGACGUCAUGGGGGUAGACGGCGAGCUAGCCGCCACGACGGCAUCAGAGACACCUUGUCUCGAGCCCAUGACUACUGCUUCAUAGAGCGCGGGGGCUACAAAAGCCCCUGACAGUGAGGUCGAGACGGAGCCAGCCCUUGUGUCGGCUCCGUCAUGGGCUCAACCCAUCCUGGCCUUCCUCCUUCGCGGCGAACUUCCUCAAGACGAGGCGGAGGCAAGGCAGAUCCAGCGCAGAUCUGCAGCCUACGCCAUCAUCAAUCGCGAGCUUGUUCGGCGUAGCGUGACUGGCGUAUUCCAGCGCUGCGUUGAAUCAGAAAAGGGACAGGAGAUCCUCAGAGACAUUCACCAGGUGGAGUGUGGGCAUCAUGCCGCCUCUAGAACCCUGGUGGCUGAUACGUCGCCAUCGUAUCUACUUUUCCAAACUCUUUUGCCCUUGUUUUGGACUCUAAUUUGCAUGAUUGGAAUGGAACUAACCUUGACUAACGUUGUUUUCAGCAGAAUUGCCUUGGUGUUAUUUUUGUGCAGAAAUCAAAGUUCUCCAAACAUGCUAAAAAUUUACGGGGAGCAGUUUUGGAAAAUAAGAAAAANNNNNNNNNNNNNNNNNNNNNNNNNNNNNNNNNNNNNNNNNNNNNNNNNNNNNNNNNNNNNNNNNNNNNNNNNNNNNNNNNNNNNNNNNNNNNNNNNNNNGCUUACUAUAGUUGUUUCCGACGAUAGUUGACGGUAGACGGAGUAUUCGGUGUUGGAGCGGAAGACCUCGAAGACCCCGAGAACUUACGUGAGCAAGGCAAGCAGCCCUGUGACCAUGACUUGAGCACAUACAUUGAUGCAGGCUAGACNNNNNNNNNNNNNNNNNNNNNNNNNNNNNNNNNNNNNNNNNNNNNNNNNNNNNNNNNNNNNNNNNNNNNNNNNNNNNNNNNNNNNNNNNNNNNNNNNNNNNNNNNNNNNNNNNNNNNNNNNNNNNNNNNNNNNNNNNNNNNNNNNNNNNNNNNNNNNNNNNNNNNNGCUUGACCCUACCAUCUAUGAGGAUCAUGCUACUGUCAUGUUGACUAGUAAAGUUAUAGGAUCAUUGCACUGAGCUUGACCCUACCCCUUGAGGGUCAUGCUAAUACCAUGUUGACAAGUAAAGAUAGAGCAUAUUAUCAUGAGCAUAAUGAUGAUUUCAAAUAAAAGUUUAUGAACACCCCGUCGGGUGCCACUAAUGCCCGAGGGUGAUGAUGAGUUGGUGAUCACUUUUGGUGAAGUGAUGCACAGGUGUUUUUGUGUGAGUAUGGUUUUGGAAAUGGGAUUAGAUUUCUGAUGUGUCGACCGUCCCAACCUUACCAGUACGACCUCGAUACCCCUUUAUGGGACGGGGCUUUGUUGAUUACUCUGGCCGGUGCUAGCAAAGAGCCACAUUACUAGUGGAGGGAGUGAUUGUCGUCACUCUUGUGAUGGGGUCGUGCCAGGUAGGACGACUAUGCCAUUAUUAUGAGUUCCAGGCACACCGUUGGUCCCCGCAUGGUUGAUACUUUCCAGAGUCGGUGCUCGUAAGACGUACAACAUGUGGGCUGGGUACCAAUCGAGUGGACCUCUUUGUCUAGUAUCGUCAGGGGAAAGAUGAUGAUCGGGUACUUACCUCAGGUAUAUGUGAUAUACCGCGAGUCGUGGAUGACACGGAAGUUAUUCGAAUAAUCGUGUCCACGGUCAAGGACAGUUGGGUGGUGCUGCUUAAACUACGUCCUGAUAUUUCCACAUAAACCAAGUGUGUGUGGUGUUAAAAAGGUAUUGUUAUAAUCAUAAUAAUAUGAGCAAGUUCGGUGACUUGGCAUAUAGGGUAAACCCGGAUGGUUUAGCCCUCAGUUGAUACAUUGAGGUUAUGACAAGUCCGAUGACUUGGCAUAUAGGGUGAACCCGGAUGGUUCAACCCUUAGCAGAUAUGUUGAUAUCUGUAACCUGUUCUUCAAUAGUAAUUCUUUAACUUGAUGCAUAUCCACGAUCAUUCCACCCAGAUGAGUUAUACUAGAAAUGCAUGAUAUUGUUAUCCUUCACUUUCGUUGAUUACAUCAUGGGCUGUUUGCGAGUACUUUCAAAGUACUCAUUAGCUUGCCACUGGUUAUUUCAUUGACCAGGUGUGGAAGACAGGAUAUGGUGGAGAUUAACUCGGUGACGUUCUUGCGAGCUAGGAUGCUUCCGAGUCAGAAUACCUGUAGGUUAAGGCUGAUGGCAUGGGUUAACGCUUUCAACCAAUAAUUCAGCUAUUGGUCUAGNNNNNNNNNNNNNNNNNNNNNNNNNNNNNNNNNNNNNNNNNNNNNNNNNNNNNNNNNNNNNNNNNNNNNNNNNNNNNNNNNNNNNNNNNNNNNNNNNNNNGGAGAGGAUCAUAUCAACCUUGGAAACACUUCCAACACCUAUCGUCACCUCGCCUUUAGCUAGUCUCCGUUUAUGCCGUAGCUUUCAUUUCGCGUUACUAAUCACUUAGCAACCGAACCAGUAUCCAAUACCCUCGUGCUACUAGGAGUACUAGUAAAGUACACAUCAACAUUAUGUAUAUCAAAUAUACUUCUCUCGACUUUUGCCAGCCUUCUUAUCUACCAAGUAUCUAGAGUUGCUCCGCCUCAGUGACUGUUCCCCUUAUUACAGAAGCACUUAGUCUCGGGUUUGGGUUUAAUCUUGGGUCUCUUCAUUAGUGCAGCAACUGUUUUGCCGUUUCACGAAGUAUCCCUUCUAGCCCUCGCCUUUCUUGAAACUUAGUGGUUUUUCAAACCAUCAACUAUUGAUGCUCCUUCUUGAUUUCUACUUUCGCAGUGUCAAACGUCGCGAAUCUCUCAAAGAUCAUUGUAUCUAUCCUUGAUAUGUUAUAGUUCAUCACGAAGCUCUCAAAGCUUGGUGGCAGUGACUUUUGGAGAACCAUCACUAUCUCAUCUGGAAGAUUAGCUCCCACUUGAUUCAAGUGAUUGUCGUACUCAGACAAUCUGAGCACACGCUCAACGAUUGAGCUUUUCUCCUUUACUUUGUGGUCAAAGAAUUUUGUUGGAGGUCUCGUACCUCUUAACAAGGGCACAAGCAUGAAAUCACAAUUUCAUUUCUUUAGAACACCACUUAUGUUCCGUGACGUUUAAAACGUUUUCGGUGCCUUGCUUCUAAGCCAUUAAGUACUUUGCACUGAACUAUCGUGUAGUCAUCAGAAACGUGUAUGUCGGAUGUUCACAGCAUCCACAGACGACGCUCGAGGUGCAGCACACCGAGUGGUGCAUUAAGGACAUAAGCCUUCUGCGCAGCAACGAGGACAAUCCUCGGUUUUACAGACUCAGUCUGCAAAGUUUGCUACUAUCAAUUUUCAACUAAAUUUUCUCUAGGAGCAUAAAAAAACAGUAGAGCUAUAGCGCAAGCUACAUCGUAAUUCGCAAAGACCAUUAGACUAUGUUCAUGACAAUUAGUUCAAUUAAUCAUAUUACUUAAGAACUCCCACUCAAAAAGUACAUCUCUCUAGUCAUUUGAGUGGUACAUGAUCCAAAUCCACUAUCUCAAGUCCGAUCAUCACGUGAGUCGAGAAUAGUUUCAGUGGUAAGCAUCCCUAUGCUAAUCAUAUCAACUAUACGAUUCAUGCUCGACCUUUCGGUCUCAUGUGUUCCGAGGCCAUGUCUGCACAUGCUAGGCUCGUCAAGCUUAACCCGAGUGUUCUGCGUGUGCAACUGUUUUGCACCCGUUGUAUGUGAACGUUGAGUCUAUCACACCCGAUCAUCACGUGGUGUCUCGAAACGAAGAACUGUGGCAACGGUGCACAGUCGGGGAGAACACAAUUUCGUCUUGAAAUUUUAGUGAGAGAUCACCUCAUAAUGCUACCGUCGUUCUAAGCAAAAUAAGGUGCAUAAAAGGAUUAACAUCACAUGCAAUUCAUAAGUGACAUGAUAUGGCCAUCGUCACGUGCUUCUUGAUCUCCAUCACCAAAGCACCGGCACGAUCUUCUUGUCACCGGCGCCACACCAUGAUCAUCCAUCAACGUGUUGCCAUCGGGGUUGUCGUGCUACUUAUGCUAUUACUACUAAAGCUACAUCCUAGCAAAAUAGUAAACGCAUCUGCAAGCACCAACGUUAGUAUAAAGACAACCCUAUGGCUCCUGCCGGUUGCCGUACCAUCGACGUGCAAGUCGAUAUUUCUAUUACAACAUGAUCAUCUCAUACAUCCAAUAUAUCACAUCACAUCGUUGGCCAUAUCACAUCACAAUCAUACCCUGCAAAAACAAGUUAGACGUCCUCUAAUUUUGUUGUUGCAUGUUUUACGUGGUGACCGAGGGUAUCUAGUAGGAUCGCAUCUUACUUACGCAAACACCACAACGGAGAUAUAUGAGUUGCUAUUUAACCUCAUCCAAGGACCGCCUCGGUCAAAUCCGAUUCAACUAAAGUUGGAGAAACAGUCACUUGCCAGUCAUCUUUGAGCAAAGGGGGUUACUCGUAACGAUGAAACCAGUCUCUCGUAAGCGUACGAGUAAUGUAGGUCCAAGCCGCUUCAAUCCAACAAUACCGCGGAAUCAAGAAAAGACUAAGGAGGGCAGCAAAACGCACAUCACCGCCCACAAAAACUUUUGUGUUCUACUCGAGAAGACAUCUACGCAUGAACCUAGCUCAUGAUGCCACUGUUGGGGAACGUAGCAUGGGAAACAAAAAUUUUCCUACGCGCACGAAGACCUAUCAUGGUGAUGUCCAUCUACGAGAGGGGAUGAGUGAUCUACGUACCCUUGUAGAUCGUACAACAGAAGCGUUAGUGAACGCGGUUGAUGUAGUGGAACGUCCUCACGUCCCUCGAUCCGCCCCGCGAACAAUCCUGCGAUCAGUCCCACGAUCUAGUACCGAACGGACGGCACCUCCGCGUUCAGCACACGUACAGCUCGACGAUGAUCUCGGCCUUCUUGAUCCAGCAAGAGAGACAGAGAGGUAGAAGAGUUCUCCGGCAGCGUGACGGCGCUCCGGAGGUUGGUGAUGACCUUGUCUCAGCAGGGCUCCGCCCGAGCUCCGCAGAAACGCGAUCUAGAGGAAAAACCGUGGAGGUAUGUGGUCGGGCUGCUGUGGAAAAGUCGUCUCAAAUCAGCCCUAAAACCUCCGUAUAUAUAGGUGGGAGGGAGGGGGGGAGGCAGCCUCAAAACCUAAAGGUUUGGCCGAAAUUGGAGGUGGAGGAGUCCUACUCCAAUCCUACUUGGAGUAGGAUUCCACCUUCCCACUUGGAAACUCUUUCCACCUUGUGUUUUUUCCUUCUCAAACCUUAUGGGCCUUAGUGGGAACUUAUUCCAGCCCACUAGGGGCUGGUUUAUCUCUUCCCAUAGCCCAUGAGACCCCUUGGGGCGUGACACCCCUCCCGAUGGUCCCCGGCACCCCUCCCGGCACUCCCGGUACACUACCGAUGAGCCCGAAACUUUUCCGGUAAUGCACGAAAACCUUCCGGUAACCAAAUGAGGUCAUCCUAUAUAUCAAUCUUCGUUUACGGACCAUUCCGGAAACCCUCGUGACGUCCGUGAUCUCAUCCGGGACUCUGAACAACAUUCGGUAACCAACCAUAUAACUCAAAUACGCAUAAAACAACGUCGAACCUUAAGUGUGCAGACCCUGCGGGUUCGAGAACUAUGUAGACAUGACCCGAGAGACUCCUCGGUCAAUAUCCAAUAGCGGGACCUGGAUGCCCAUAUUGGAUCCUACAUAUUCUACGAAGAUCUUAUCGUUUGAACCUCAGUGCCAAGGAUUCAUAUAAUCCCGUAUGUCAUUCCCUUUGUCCUUCGGUAUGUUACUUGCCCGAGAUUCGAUCGUCAGUAUCCGUAUACCUAUUUCAUUCUCGUUUACUGGCAAGUCUCUUUACUCGUUCCGUAAUACAAGAUCCCGCAACUUACACUAAGUUACAUUGCUUGCAAGGCUUGUGUGUGAUGUUGUAUUACCGAGUGGGCCCCAAGAUACCUCUCCGUUCACACGGAGUGACAAAUCCCAGUCUUGAUCCAUACUAACUCAACUAACACCUUCGGAGAUACAUGUAGAGCAUCUUUAUAGUCACCCAGUUACGUUGCGACGGUUGAUACACACAAAGCAUUCCUCCGGUGUCAGUGAGUUAUAUGAUCUCAUGGUCAUAGGAAUAAAUACUUGACACGCAGAAAACAGUAGCAACAAAAUGACACGAUCAACAUGCUACGUCUAUUAGUUUGGGUCUAGUCCAUCACAUGAUUCUCCUAAUGAUGUGAUCCCGUUAUCAAGUGACAACACUUGCCUAUGGCCAGGAAACCUUGACCAUCUUUGAUUAACGAGCUAGUCAACUAGAGGCUUACUAGGGACAGUGUUUUGUCUAUGUAUCCACACAAGUAUUGUGUUUCCAAUCAAUACAAUUAUAGCAUGGAUAAUAAACGAUUAUCAUGAACUAAGAAAUAUAAUAAUAACUAAUUUAUUAUUGCCUCUAGGGCAUAUUUCCAACAUCACAUUCUUGACAUCAGAAAAUGCUUCUAUCUAUAUCAUGCAUCUAUAAAAAAGGGAUUAUAUCGUUACAAAGCCACGAUGAAAAGUAUUAAAACCCCAUUUUACCCCCGAAAGCCUCCUAUCCCUAGUCUAUAUUUCCUCAUGGAACUCAACUUGGUAAAUGCUUGUAGAAGCAUUGCGAUAGAAAUUUGUCCUCACAAGUAAUGCCAACCGAAAGAUGAUAGAUUCUCCAAGUGAGCAAGAAUGGAAGAAGACAUGAGUUAUUUGUGAGUUUCUAAAAGCUUUUGAAGAGCUUACCUUAAUUGUUUCAACUCAAAGGAAGCCAACUGCACAUUAAUUUCUGCCGGUUUUGCUUGUAUUCACCAUCUGGUAUUAUAUCCAGCAAAAGAGAUAAACAUACACCACCAACUUCUUUGAACCAUUCAAUGGUGUUUUCUUUAUCUGUGUGUCAAUACUUGUGUUUGUGUGAUAUAAACUACUGAAAGCUCUAACUUUAUUCCCGCCAUAAGAUCGCAUGAUCUUGUUAAAUGCUUUAAUUUUUACGAUUUCUGUUCACAUUGGAUCGUGAACCAUGUCAUUUCGUCCCUUUAAACUGCUACAUAUACAUUAGUGUGCUCAAAACUUGUCCGCUAAAUCUGAUUAGUGGCUUGUAUAUAUUUGUUGUUUUGUUCAUUCUACCAGGCUGGUAUGAAGCAUUCUGAAAGGAGGUUGAUGGUGUGAAGCAGGUUUGGAAGAACGAGAAGGAGCGGAAGGUGGAGGAUCAAUCAGAAUUAGUUGUCAACAAGCAAAAGGACACCUGCGUUGCAACGGGAGAAAAAAUCAUAAUAUUCAAUGUUCAAGACCAUAUUUUGCUGCAUCAUCGAGAUACACUAUGACCCUCAUUUUUGUGGGAUCGUGACAAUUUUUGCAAAUCAUGAAAAAAACUCAUGAACAUAUUUGAAAUCGUGAAGUUUUUCAAAUUCUUGAACAUUUUUACAGAUUUUUUAAACUUUUCUGAAAUGAUGAAAAUUUUAUACUAUUUGCAGACUUUUGUUUUAAAAUUGUGAUCAUUUCUUUAAAAAGAAAACAUGAAUCAGAGACAUUUCUAGAAUCAGCGAACCAUUUGUAAAUCAUGAUUUUUUGCAAAUCCAUGUACAUUUUUCAAAUCAGUGAAGAUUUAAUGAAUUAAUAAACUAUUUUGUAAGUCAUGACCAAUUUUCAAAAUUUUAUGAUUUUUGUGAUUCAUGAACAUCUUUUGAAUUGGCAAAAUUUUGCUCAAUUUCAUUAUUUUUUUAAUACCCUAACUUUUACAAGUCAUGAACGUUAUUUUACUUCUGGAAUAUCACUUUUCAAAUUUGCAAACAUUUUCUGAAUAUGCGAAUAUUAUUUUGAAAAUAGCGAACAUUUUAUAACCCACAAACAUUUAUGAGUUGUUGAAUAUUUUAUUUUCAAAUUAUCAUUUUUUUAUUAUGAAGAGAUUUUUUGAAUUCUCAAAUAUUUAAAGUAGCUAACAACGAAGGAUGAAAAAGAAAAACAAAAAAUGAAAAACGAAAAAUAAAGGCCGCCCAGACAUGGGCUGGCCGGAACAGGAGUGUUGUGUCUUGUCUUAGCAUGCGGAGCGCAGUAUAGGACAUCUACUGUAUGGGCCGGCCCAGCCGGGGAUUCUUCGUUGUGAAUUAUUUGUUUCCACUUACCGAUGGCAUGAGUGGAUAAUUAUCAAUAAUUCUAAGGAUAAUUUAAUAACGGAAGACCAGAAACAGUCAGUGCUUUAUUUUUUACAUACUACUAGCAAAAGGUCCCGUGCGUUGCAACGGGAGAAAAAACUACCAUCUUUAAUGGAGAAAAAACUCAUCGCAUGAUUUCGAAAAUUUAUUCACAAAUGCAAGAAAAUAUUUCUUCUUUUAAUUUUAUUCACAACUCACAAGUUGAAACAAUGUUCAUAUUUUUUUUAAAUAUCAUGGUUGUCCAAAAACUUGGUAACUCAAAGAAUUGUUCUGAAUUUCAAGAAACAUUUUUAAAAAUAAACUAUAAUAUUCGGAUCCAUCCUCACAAUUAAUUCUUCAAAAUUCACUCCGGUAUAUAAUCAGAAAGAGUCAAAAGCAUUACUGUUUAAGUGCAUACAUUCAAUCAUUCGUGAACAUCUUUACAAAUUUGAGAACAUUUUUAAAAUCGAGAAUUUUUCUUACUAUAUAUAUAUAUAUUUUAAAAUUCCAAGCAAUAUGUUAUAUCACGAACUGUUUUCAAGUAUUUUCUUUUGAAUUGGGGAAUAAUUCAAUUUUUGAAUUAUCAAACAUUUUUUAAUUGCAUUAAAGGAAUUUCUCAAAACGAUGGACUUUUUUUAUUCACGAAUGUUUUAUCCAAAAUUACGAUUAAUGUAAUAUGCAAACAUUUUUACAAAGAACCUAAACAAUUUUUGAAUACGCAAACAUUUUAUGUUUUAUGAAACAUUUAUGUAAAUAUAUUUUUUGGAAUUGCGGAAGGUUUUUUUGGUUUAUUUAAAUUAGAAAAAAUAAAAAGGAACAGAUAAAUAAUAAUAAAAAAAUAAAAAAACAGACCCCGUCCAUGGGCUGGCCCAAAUGGCGUGCUGUUUAUUUUCGAGCGAGCAGAGCAUAGUAUAGGUGGUCCUUAUGUUUUGGCCGGCCCAUGUGAGGAUUCCCUACAAAACGUUUUCUAUAAUUUAUAGGUGGCAUUGGUGGGUAAUCUGGCUGGUCUUUCUUCAACAGACCUGCACACUUUUGUAACUAAAGGUAGGAGUGAGACUCUCUGCUUUGGGUGGAUGGUGCUCACAAGUCACAACUUAGUCAUGCACAGAGUACUCAUUGUCCAAACAGUUAGCAGCUUGCUUUGCUACUGAUAGUAGGCGAAGCACAGCAAACCAUCUAGAAACAAAAUUAUGUGAAUUUUAUCUACCGGGAGUUCACAUGAUGUUCUAACGGUUUUUUUAGCUUUAAAAGCAGCAUGUAGUUUCCUGUGUGUUUUUCAAAUAGCUCAUCAAACUGAACUCAUUUGACAUCUCCCACAGGAACCCCCUAUGAAGAAUCAACCAUUGUAAGUUGCUUUCAUAUUUGGAAUAAGUAAAAUAUGUAAAAUUCAUAUGUUUUCUGCAAACAAAUAUGAUGAAUUAUUCAUGUUUGGAAUAAACCACUGGUUGCUGGCUAAUGAUGAUUACAUGCCAAGAACAGGUUUGUGUAACUGAUGCGAGCAACAGUAACAGAUGCGUUCUUCUUCUGUUCAUCCCUGGAGUGAAGAACCGCACAUUCAAAUUGUCAGUAACUUGUUGCGAGGAUAGACGUCUUCGCUCAACACUUGUUAGCAGGAGGUACAUGGCAUUGGAUCGACCACGUGCUGUCAGUACAGAACAUCGAAUGUGCAGGCAAGAUUAUUCGCUCAUUUCUUCCACUAGGGCAGCCGUUGGACGACGACCUGCAAGAAGAACCACAAUUUUUUUCAAGAAGACAAUGGUGGUCAUGACAAGAAAGCCGGAGACGAUGCGUGAGGCUUAGUGAGAUUAUGCCUUGCCGGAGUUCUCCUUGUUUCCGACGAUCGUCUGGCAGGUCAGUCUCCACGACUCCGGUUUCUCGCAAAGGCAACGAGAUGCAGAGUGCACAGUUAACUCGCAGCUCCUCUCCUUGUGAGCCACAGUGGAGACAGCAGCAGAGAAUUUCAGAACGAACUGCCGCAUACCUUCUUCAGGUAACGAUUCUCGGCGUCCGUCCUCGGGCUCAGGAACUCCUUCCCGUCGAUUAUCUGCGCCACAAAGGUUCACACUCUGGUGGCAUCAGUUACAGUUCAGAGCAGCCAUUGUGCACGACGAGAUAGCGUGCUAUUUUCAGUUGUAGUGCUGCAAAUGAUGCUGCAAAUGGUGCACCUCGACGAUGCAGGUGUCGCCGCCGCCGCAGUUCAUUAGCUUCCCUUGCAGCGCGCGCCCCAGGAACCAUUAUUUAACAGAUAGUGGAAGAGGAAAAUCCGCAGAGGAAUUGAGCUAGAGAAGGUGCGGAGGGUAGUGAGGGAGGGUGGCUCACAUAGAGCUCGAUCUUGUUCUCGACCAUGACGUCCCGGAGGAGCUUGUCGCCGCUGACCGCCGCUGACCUGUCCACCGGGUACGACCCGUCGGCGCCCGGCUUGGGCUGCACGCACGACACAGAAAAUCAAAUAAACACUCGCCGCCCGGAGGCCGGAGGUAGCGUAGGCCGUUGAGGGCUUACCCCGAGGAACUCGAGCUCGAUUUGGGGCCUGGGCGGCGCUGGCGUUCGUCCGUGAGGAUCUCCUCCACCACCAGAUGCUCCGCCCAAUCCCUCCUCCCUAGCGUCGCCCCGCCGUUCAAGCUCUCACGCCGCCGCCGCCCCGCCGGCCGUUCCCCCGGCCAGAAACGCCAAGCCGAAGCCCCCAUGCCCAGCCGUCGUGCCACCCGUCGCCAGCUGCGUCGCGCGCCGCCGCCGAUUGGAUCUGACGAGCGCGCCGUCUGCUGCCGCCAUGCCUCCUCGCUUUGAAAAACAUAGGGUCUUAUUCAUAAAAGUGAAACGUUUUCCUGACUAAAGAAAGGACUGCAGGUUUAUUAACUGAAAACGGAGGGGCCUUUUUGUAAAAAUGCCACGACAAACGACAAGAAACAGUAUUUGCUUUAUUAUUAUUAGGGAGAGAUGAAAUAUGAUCGAGCAUUACAAUGGGAGAAAAAAUAUUAUGUUGUAGCCAAAUAAAUAUAGCUUAAUACCCCGACAUAUGAGCUUCCUCUAUUUUUCUAUUUAACACGAUGACCCAUCAUAUUACCACUUAUCUUUUCUCCCAUUCUUGUUAAUGAUGGUUACGUUAUUCAUGUGAUCAAAUUUUAUGGAUUGAUGUCCACUUAUAUUUUUUGUGAAAUGCAUGGACAGUUUUUUCUCAGGGAACAAUUCUUGAGUUGAUGAUUAUUUUUGAAAAUGAGGAACAAAUUUUGAAAUUCGUGAUUUGUUUAGUUUUUCUCAACAUUUUUUGAAAUUUCAUAAACAUUUUAUUUAAAUUCACGGAUAUGUUUUGAAUAAAUGAUCAUUUUCAAAAUCAUGAACAUUUUAUAUUUGCUGAAUAAGUUUUUUAAAAUUGUGAAUUCUUUUAUAAUAUGCGAACAAUUUUUUAAAUUCAUCAUUUUUUUUGAAUCCAUGAAAAUUUUAUUAUUUUCUGAUCCUAUGUUUCAAUUCCCAAACAUUCUAUAAUUUUAUAAACAUUUUUUUUGCAAAAUUUAAAAAUUUGGAAUUUUGAAACAUAUAGAAUUAAUUUAAAGAAGAAAACAAUAAAUUGAAUUAAUAAAACAUGGGCUGCCCAUGAGCUCGUGUUUGCUGCUAUAAGAAGAGAAAAGCACUGCUUGUGUAAUCAAGUUUUGUUAUUGAUGUUGAUUUAUCUUUUUUUCUUUUGAAAUGUAUGUUUGAAGAGAAAACUUUUUGUUUUUGCCAUUCUUGUUUUUGUCAACUUUGCUUAUGGCACUUUAGAAUUUGACAUCUCAUUUUUACGACUCUUUGCUUGUGAUAAUAUAUCACAAAUGCCAUUCUGUUAGACAUCCAUGAGUUGACCGUUGUUCUAAAUAGUUGAUCAAGAAAAGAGUUGUUAGUAUUUCUAGAAAUACCACAAUUUGCCCCUACUAACUUGUCCCCCCGCCUGUCGCCGCCGCGUCCACCCUUCAUCGUCUGCUCUAGCUCUACCGCCGCGCCCCCUCCUCUGGCCUCGCCGACGGAUCACGCGUCUCGGGUCACCCCUCCGUGGCGUCCUGCUCUGACCUCGCUGAUGCGCCGUGCAUCUUCGUCGUCCCGUCCCCGGCGCCCUACUCCAGCCUCCCUCCCCGACGCGAUCCGUGCCAGUGACCUCUGCUCCUCCGCUCCGGCCUCCCUCCCCGUCGCGGUCCGCGCCAGUAAAGUGGAAGUCAGAUGGAUCUUUUUCACAAGACAAAAAACAAUAUUCUCUUGAGAACAACUAUAGGGGAUGUGGUUACUUAUUCAUAAGUCGUGCUUAUUAGCACGAGAUAUUACAAGCGACAUAGAUUUUCACACAAAUGACAUACUCGUACAUUCCUUACUUGAGAGGGAUUCAAGACAUGGCAUAUCAUGGCAUGGCAGGCAUAUAUAAUAAUUCUGCCAGCUAACAAAGGUGUCCCUGAUUUAUUUCAACAACACACAAUAAUAGUAGUAGCACGUAGGCCUCACGGCCUACUCCUUAUAGCAGAAGUAACUCGAUGGAUGAUGAUGAAUCAUGGAAGAACAUAGAUUCCAAUGGCAUCAAUUAGAUCCCCAACACGUCCAAAGAAACCGGUGAUCUGGCCGCCAUGAGUCACUGGGACAUGAAAGGAACCCCCGGAACCAGCAAUACCACAUUUUAUAGUCUGUCCAUUGUUUGUAACAAAUUUGAGAGACGUCACUAUUGACGACACACUACCCCAUCUACCAUAG
rnacentral:lncRNA from 1 species